rnacentral:lncRNA from 1 species
UUAUCCUAAAACAGGGGAUUAAAAUAUAGUAAAGAAAAGUAUGUUUAUGUUAUUUACAGGGUAAAGUUGUGAGUGAAGGACAAAAUAUAAUUCAUCAAGAAGGCAACCAAGUUUUUGUUUUUCUUUUGAAAACAGAUAAUUUUUCUUUAAGUAUGUACACAUGGAAAAAAAGGUUACACAUGGAAAUUUCUCUGGCCAAAUCCACCACCAGAAACAACCGCCAGCCACCACAAGAUACAAGUUCCAGGGGGUACUGAGGGACAUAAGGUGGUGGCGGGGCUGUUUGAAAUCAGAAGAUGCCUGAAAAACAAAACCAUGAAAAAAAAAAAAAAAGGUUACACUGGGAAAUAUGAUUACAGUCAGCAGGUGAAACUAUUGAUUCUUUUUGUGUCAGACGAGUUAUUUGCUAACUUCAUAAAUUGACAAGAAUAAUCAUUAUCUAUCCCAAGAUUACUGAAAAAAGAACCAUUUCACAUGACCAAUAAUCAAACAGAAAAAUGCCUAUAAUUUUAAUUUUAAAUUUUAUAUGCAUUAAGUUUGACUACUGUGAAAAAGUCAAAAUAGAAUGCCCUCAUGAAAGAGGCCGAACUUUGAACAAAAGAAUAUGUCUUUCAUCCAGAAUUCUUGAUUUGCACUCGCCGAUCAAUCCAAAGAAUAGAUUUAAUAUAAGAUUAACUAAAGACUUUAGUCUAAAGUAUCAAUUUCUUGUGAAUAAAAUCUUUUAACAAAAGGGAUUUAUGAGAUUACUUAGGAACAGGGUUUCAAUAACCUUGAAGCAGAAGAGUUGGUCAUCAAGUCAGUUCAAUCAAAUAAAGUAGAGAAACAUGUAAAUGAUGAUGGGGGAAGGAAACAAAUGAGUGCUAGAAGAAAUCCCAAGGCAUGAACCAUGGUACAGUGUUGUAAUCUUACCUAUUAUGCUAUAUAUAUAUAUAUANUAUAUAUAUAGCUGACUUCAAAAUGAGCCAAACUGCACAUGUGAAUUCAAAUGUUCCUCUAGAACUCCCAUCCCUGUAGGAGAUUACAAGAAAGUUGUAAAUUGGAGAGUAAAGUAAACUUUUUGUUGGAGAAAACAUUAAUCUGUUAAUAAUAACCAAAGGAGACACCACAUACCUCUUGUUGAUAGGUCUUUAUAAAAGAGUUGGGGUCUUCUGUUACAUGACACAAUCCAAAAGUUGUAUCUAUUAAUUUUAGCUCUGGAGUAGUUGAUUGCCCAUUUGUGAAAACUGUUAUUUUUGGACAAUAUUUGAUUUUCAAAGUAUCUAAUGAUGGCCAUUCAAAAGCCUCCUUCCCCAGGCAAAAUCCCAUGAGAUUUGGAAGGUUGUGAAGUGUUAUGGAUUUUAGACAAGGGAACACAACCUCAGUAGUCGGUCUGGUUUCGGAAUCUUCAACUUGCUUCACAAUCACAUCCAUACUCUCGCAGUUACUUAUUUUUAGCUCUUGGAGCUGCAAUAGACUACCAACCAUGCAACUAGUGAAAACAUGUCCAAGAAAUCGACAUCUUUUAAUUGAGACCUUUGUAAGGUUUGGAAAGUUCAACACUAUCCACCGAUUGCUCUUCCACAUAUGUUUCAGGUUACGUAGUCCAUCCAGAGCCACCUCUUUUAGCUUCUCAAAUACCACAACAGAUUGUGUUUCAAUAUCCACAUCUUCAUUUGUCCCUUCUGCUACUUCAAAUACCUCCUCUGCUACAGAUUCAUAUGCAUUGGUAAUAGAAAGCUUUUCAAGAUUCUUCAAAUUAAGCAACUCCUUGCAUGGAAAAAUCACGCGGCUUUCCAACAAUUUGCCAUUCCAUUGUGCAUCUACUUCAACUAAAUUUGAAAAAGACCACGGGAACUGAACUAGCUUUAUCAUAUCUGGAGUAGAGCACAUAGGGAGUUGAGUCUGCUUAGAAAAAACAAACAUAGAUCAUCUCAAACACUACAAUUAUAAAGGACAAAUACAUUUAGUAUAUAAACAUAGUAAAGGAUUGCAAGUUCUAUUAUUUUUAAACGAGCCAACAUGUAUUUCCAAUCAACAACCUAGUUUAUGGCACUGCUUACAUUAUUUUCUGAGAAGAUGAGCACUGUGAAGAAAAAUUCUGAUUUAUACAUUGCAUUUGUUUAAACAAUUUAGAUUUUAUCGAUGAUUGUCGAUUUGUUUAAACAAUUCAGAUUUUAUCAAUGAUCGAGCUUUUUAAAUAAAAGAAAAAAAUUAAAUAUUUGUGUUUGUGUGUGUGUGUGUGUGGGGUGGGCGGAUAAAAUAAAAAGUAAAACUGUAAAAGUUAAGUGUUUUGGCUACUUCAAAUAGGUAGUUUUUCAUGUACUGAAUGUUUACAUCCAAGUUUUUUAGGAAAAAAGAUAACUAUGUUAUUGUAUUUUUAUUGCAUUGUCAAAUACAACAAAUGAUAUAUGGAUGAUAUGCUUAUACUUUUACAAUCAUCUCAGCAAUACUAUUUUUGUCAAAUUUAGGUAAUAAACGCUACAUAAAUGUUUAGCUUGUCGAAGAUGAGAGAGAAAAGAACAACUUGAUUAAGUAACUACUAACAUCACAACACUAGAAAAUAUGUGAGAUAAUUGGAUUAAACUGGAUUAAAACGAUAUAAAUGAUUCAAUUACAAAAUAUAGCUCCAUACAAAAAUCUAUUUGUUAAUAGAUAUGAGUGAAAAUAUGUAAAAUAAGCUAAUGCUUUUAUUUCCAUCUAUUUUGUGUUUUUUUCUUAACCGAAUGAAGUUGUUUGUUCUAAGUUCCUAAUUAAUGAUUUAUAAACUUUCAAAUGAUUUGAAUAAGAAUGAACUUGCCAAGUAUCAUUUGUAAUACACAAGAAAAUAGUUUUUUAUAUUCAUAUAUUUGAUAUAAAUUCUUAAAUCUUCUGUUUUCAAGGAAAGAAACUAUUAUGUGAAUUUUAGAAGCCCUUUUUCUUAGGUGCUUAUUUUGUUAUGCCUUUAGUCGAAUACUUGCCCAGACUCCAAACCUUCAAGCCACUAGUUAGAUUUGUUUGUUUUUUCGGUCCAUGCGUUUGUCGAUUUUUGCGGUUACGGUCCCUGUGGUUCCAAAAUUACAAAGUUGGUCCUUCUCACCAGGUUUGUAUCAAAAUUGAAAAGACUGAUUUACUGUUUUAAUUUCUUUUUUUAGAUUUUCUUUAAUAUUAAUUAAACAUUAAAAAAUGCAAAAAAGAAAAUAAACCCCUAACCCCCACCCAACUCCUCCUUUCUUUACCUUCUUUCUCUGUGAUGCUGUUGGGGUUGCAAGCCGGUGAAAAUAGGGACAAUGUAAAGAAGAAGGGGUUGUUGAUCUGAUUCUGAUCAAACGGAAACUAGUAUAGUAUAUGUUCAAAAAUCUUUGGACAUGGAAAAAACCACCCUCAAUGAAUGCGUCAAUUGGGCCUUUAAUUGUCUUUACUUCAUCUAACUUGAUUUAAAUAUUAAAUUGCUACCUUAUGAAUUAGUGAAUAUAACAUCUUUCAUAACAUAAGGGAUAACUUAAUAUCUUAGGAAUGAAAUAUUAAUUUUUAAUAAAAAAUAAGAUUGCAUAUUUUCAUAACUUUUCAUGGAUAUAAAAAAGGGAAGUGGUUAUAUAUGUAUCUUCAUUUGGUUUUGUUUUAUGUUUCCUUCUGGAAUACAAAUAUGAACCUGCCACCUAAUUUUUGUAAGCAAAUAAUAUGUUGAACAUCAUAAAACGACAUGCUGAUCACCUGGUUAAAUGAUGAAAUAAAGUGAUAACAUACCUCAUCCUCAUGUGUAGCAUUGGUCAAACGGAAGUUGAGGCCAUAUUGAUCAAGACUAUGCUUGCCUAAUUCUGUAUGUAUGUAGUUGAGCUUCGGAGUCAUGGAGUGACCAGAUGUGAAAGUCAUCAUUUGUGGGCAGCCAUAAAUCUUAACCUUUUCCAAUGCUUUCCACCUGAACUCAUUCGUCCCCAAGAAGAAACCCUUGAGAUCUGGUAAAUCUACAAGUGUAAGGGACUUGAGAUGUGGGAAGACUAUAAUAGAUUUAGAUUUUUCUGUGUGCUCUGUGUCUUCCUUCACAAUCACUUUCAUUGCCUUGCAUUGUUUUACAGUCAGUUCUUUGAGUUGCUUGAGGCUUUCAAGUGUGGAACUUGUGAUUAUAUAUUCCAAUACUUCACAUCUUUCUAUUUCCAAUAUCGUCAGGUUGGGCAAUUGAAGCAGAGUCAUAUUUGCAGACCUUGGGAUGGUGAUUGCAGUACAAGUAUCAUCACUUCCAUCACCAACAUUCGUAGUACUAUCAACACCAUCUUUGUUUAUUUCUUUACUUUCAAAUAUCUCCACCAUUGACUUACAUUCUACUAUUAUCAACUCUUCAAGCUUAUUCAGUUGUCCCACUACAUUGGAUGGAAACACUCUUGAUAGGGCAGGACACUCCACUAUAUCAAUCUUUUUGGAGUAUUGACAUAAGAACCAAGAAGCAACACCGACUUGAGAACACUACAACAACACAUGAAAAAUCAAUGGAUCUAUUUUAAUUAACAAAGCUUAGAUGUUUGCUACACACAUACACACUACAAUUUAACAUAUCAUUUGUUUCUAAAAGUGUGGUAACAAACACAAGUGCUUCCCACAACUAAGGUAAUUAAGUAACAAUGUGGACAAUGUAAGUUGAACUACAAAAGGGCAAUAUACAGAAAAAAUGGAUAAAAGGUCUAGGAAUAAAGAGAAACCAAAUCGUGGUGUUUGGACUCCUUGAGGAAGAAGGUUUGUCAAAUGACCAAAAUACCCUCGUUAUACAUAUAUGACAAAAUAAGUAAAAACAAGAAACUAAUCAGUUGUAUGCUAUGCUUAUAUUGUUGGCAGGAGAGAACAAGUAGAUGGUGGAUGAAAGAAAAGGCACACUAAAUCAAUCAUAAAAGUGGCCUUAAUUAUAUAGGCUUAGAAGAGAUUAUGACAACCUACAAAUAGGAAACUGACACAAGAAAAAUAAAACUGCUACGUGCUAAAUAACACAGCUAAUUAGCAUUUAUUCAAAUUAAAACUUGAAAAUGAAGAGACUUUGAAGUACUUUGAUUAGCAAUUAAUCAACAUAUAUUUCUCGUGCAGAAGCAAAGUGUAUGACACUGGAAGUGGACAUGGUGGUCAUGAUAUUGGUUAGUCUCAUCUUUGAAACUAAAAAAAAAGACAAUAAAUAUGAGAUAUAAACACAUGAAAGGAUGAUAUAAAGCAUAAAAUAAACAAAUAUUUCACCUGGAUUUAUAGCUAUGAAAUUUACUUAUCUGAACUGAAGAAGGUCUAAAUGAAAGAAAUAACAACGCAUUUCCAUUUAUUCGUUUAUUAUAACAUCCUACUUUCAUUUCUUUAUAUUGCAGUAACGGAAAUCCUUUGUAUUUGAAUGAAAUUGCAAUAAAUGGGUGAGUUACUUAAAUUACAAUGCUUUAAUAGGAAAAAAUGAAAGUAAGAUGCUCUUAUAAUCAUAUCAGUGAAAGUAAAAUGCUAUUUCUAUAAUUUUAGACUUUAAUAAAUGACCCAAGACUACCAUAUAGGUACUUUGAAAAUCCACCCAACUAUAGCAUUGUACUUUCGACUUUUCUUAUCAGGCCGUUGUAGCCACAUAUAAUUGGGUAUAUUUUUUCAAAGUAUGAUGCUAUAAUGGGAAGAAAUGAAAGUAGGAUGAUGUAAUAAGAAAAUAAAGGAAAGUAUGUUGAACAGAGAAAAUGACUAAAAAUAUAGUGGUUUUUCUGUAUAUGGUUUAUGAAGAGAAAACAAAUGUCAUUGGACUAUAUAACCCAUUACCCCCUCAAUGUGAGAAAAUGAAAAUAUAAUUGUACUUCUAAAUUUAUUUAUUAUUAGGAAAUGAGUUUGAAAUUAAUAUGCUUAUAUUUCCGUACCUGCAUUGAUUACAUGCAUCAUCUUCUUCAUGUUUUAAAUAAUUUUACUAACAUGAAGGGUUAAUUUAGGACACAGUGACAAAAGGAAGAAAAAUUUAAUAUGGAGAAUGUUAGCAUCUGAUCAGCCGUUAUCAAUAAUUAAUUUAUUCCAAGUCUUCCAUCAUGUGUGUGCUACAUCUAAACCCACAUAUUUUGGUCUAGAUAAUCUGAUCUUUAGAAAAGAAAGUUUAUAUUUUAGCAUUUGUGAAUAUAGAAUUCUCAAAAAAAGUUUAUAUUUUUGCAUUUGUGAAUAUAGAAUUAUUGAGAAGGCCAAAUCCAAGAAACAGAUAAUGACUCUUAUCAAUAUCAGUAUCUAUAGUGAAAAUAAAGGUGCGUUUAUUAUACAUCUAUGAUUGUUCAUUAGAUUGUAUAUUGCAAAAUCUAUCUUGAUUCUAAUAUUCAGAAUAGAAAGCAUUUUUAGAACAAUUUUUCUUUUCAAGGGAGUCAUUUUCAAUAUAGACUUGGGAAAUUAUACUAGAUAAAUGUAGAUCUUGAGACUUCCCAUAACUGACAAUCUUGUCCUUUGGCUCGAUGAUCGAUCACUGUCUUAAAUUUAAUACUUUUAAAAAAAAGUUGUAAACAGGAGUCUUUUGCCAUAUAUUGUAUUUAUAUAUUUUCAGUUGGAACACUAGAUAUACUUAGGUAAAGUUUGAUAUUUUUCAGUUCCAUGUCAGAAAAAAAAAGAUUUUUUUUUGAAAGAUUACAAAAAAAAAUAUUUCUUUUAAACAACAAAGUGAACUUUAUUAAGCUAAAAUUGCAAGCUAGGGAAAAAAAAAAAAAAAACAUGAAUAAAAUCAUUUUUGUUCCAGUUUUCAUAUUACUUAACAAUCAAGAGUAAUGUUGAUAUGACUUAUAUACAUUUAUCAAUCAAUUUUUUUCUCUCCCUCACAAUCCGGUCUAAAUCCAUCAUCUGUUUUAGUUAACUUAACUAAAACUGGAUAAAAAAAAUGCUUUUCAUAAGAUUUAUAACCAUGCUUAAGAGAAAGAACUCUAAUGACCUAUGCAAACGAAUAAACUGUAAAAAAAAUUAGGUAUUCAGUUAGUUAUUUUGUCUUUCCAGCUUCAGAAGAAUUAGCUUAUUGAGUUAUAUAAAGCAGCUAAUGGAGAAGAAAACAUUAAAAAUAAAUAAAUAAAUAAAUAAAACAAAUAACUGAAAUGAUACCUGGAACUGAUCAUGGAUGGAAGUAGUUGUGAUUGUAGUACUGCCAUCGAUGCUCUUUACGCUUGGCAGAGAACUGAGGAUGAGUUGAUCAAGAAGAGGGAAGGAGGAGAUGGUGUUUGUGUGAGUAGAAGAUAUUAUUUCUUCAUUUUCAUCAUUAAUAUCUCUUUUUGAAACAACUUCUUCAAUACCAGCACAACGUUCUAUCCAGACCUCCUUUAAGUUGGGAAGAAGUUUGCCCAUGACAGGUGAAAAUAAGUACUUUAUGCUUUUGCAAUUCCAUAUUUGUAUGGUUGUGAGGUUGUGGAAUGAGUAGGAUUGUGAUUGGUUUUGAGGAAUUACAAGUUUCUUCCAAUUGCACUUCCACACAUCACUCAUCCUCUCCAUAUCAUAUAAAUAUAAUUCCUUGAGGUGGGGAAGUAGUAGUGGUGGUGGUUGAUGAUUAUAUUUAUGCAGAGUUGUUGUGAAAUCUGUGCUGCUGCUGCUGUUGCUACUGGAACUCUCUAUCUCAAACACCACUUCAACAUCCUUACAGCCUCCAUUUAACCAAAGUGUUUGAAGGUGAUUAACGUGAAAAGGUUUGGGAUGAAUUGAGGAUUCAACGUCAGGAAUAUUACCAUCCACCACUGAAAUGAUCUCUGCCUUGGAUAUAACAUUAAUCUGCAAAUAUUCAACAACAAAUAUAAUUCAGAAUUUCCAUCAACUAAAUUUUUAAAUUAAGUAUUCAUAAAUGGCACACCUGUUUAAAUCUAUUUACAUAACUAAAGUUGACAGCGAUUAAAUUAGCGGAUUUUAAAUAAUUUCCAAUGAUAACUUAUUUGACACAUACAAUAAAUAUUCAAAAUACUCGCACUUACACAAAUAUGUAAAAAUAACUUUUUUAGACUAACGUACAAAAUUGGUUAUCUGGUUUUUUGGUUUACAUACAAAAAAAUCAUUUUGCAAAUUUGAUCCCUAUCACUCACACCGUUAACUUACAUCGGUUAAAACCUUAUAAAAUGACUAUUUUGCCCUUCUUUUAUUUUUUAUUAUUAAUUAUCAUGAAAAUUAUUCAUAGGUCGCACCACCCAUAUAUCGCCCCAAUGUCCCCCUCUUUCCCCUUUCACCAUAUUCCUCCAUUGCAAUCACUUUCCUCCAUUACCAUAUCAAUCUCAGGUGCAUUUUCAUCAUCAUCAAGCAUGGAAAAUGCAAGGCAUAGCAUAAAUUCAACAACCAUAUCUUGUCAUCUUCAACACAUUAUUCAGUGAGUUGAAAUCCAAAAUCAUCAUUUAAGAUGCAAGUAUCAUAAAACAUACACCCAAUAAAAUAGAAAAAAGGCAAUGCUUACAACAUAUUGUCACAAUCCAAAACCAGACAACAUGUUUCCAAAAGAAAUUAUACUUUUUGGGUAUCAGAUGGGUGAAAUCUUAAAUUUAAGUGAAAAAGUUGCAGGACAAGUGGGUGAUGAUGCAAGAACAUCCAAUUUCAGUUGAGAUUUACAAACAAUUGUUGUGAGAUAUCCUUUAAGACUUCAUAUAUGAGUAUAUGACCUAAUGAAGGAAACACAGAGGGGAGCUGAGAUGCUCACUUGGAGGGAGGACCAAGAUAAAGGGGACAAGAUUUUAAUAUUUACUCUUUUUUUUUUUUUUACCAUAAAUCAAUAAUUUUGAGUGAUCACUUAAUUGAUCUCUAGAAUAAAUAUGUAAAAUCUUCGCAUUUAAUGGAAAUAUAUAUAAAUAUUAAUUUUCAAUCCCUCUUAAUAAUGCGGUGUAAAUAUGUAAUAUUUGAAGUUACAAUUGUUAUAAAAUACUAAACAAAUGCUUAAGUAUAGUGAAAUAACAAAAAUAAGAAAAUAAGAAAAACUUGUUUAUAAAUAUGUAAAAGUGAUAAUAUAAAGGUUGAAAGACAUCAAUACUUAGCACUGUAGGAAAUCUAGCCUACUUCUCCACACUUAAAAAUGUAGUAUAUCUGUAAUUUGUCCAUGUUUUCAAAUGUGGAGUAUUAAAUUGUUUAUCCACAUUUUGAAGUGUAAAGGUUUAGAUACACGUACACAUAUAAGUGUGAGGGUAUAUAUAGAGGCACAUACAAAUAAGUGUUGUAACAUCACAUACCUCCCGGCUGUUCUGAACCAAUUCAAUGUUACUCCCGGUUUCUUCCCAAGGUCUCAUACCAUCUAUACUCACAUUCAUAAGUGUCCUCACAUCAGAAUUGGUGACGGUCGGUGUGAAUACGUUUACAAACCUCUCACAAUUGUAUAUUUGUAUACUUUCAACAGCUUGAAAGCUACGGAUGAGGAUAUCAGAGCUACUUUCACCUUUCAUCCUCCACAACUCUCUUAGCUUCCCCAAAUUAUGUACUUUAAUGAGUCUCAAGUUGCUACUGUACUCUUCAAUUUCACCAACACAACUCAUGUCGAUGUUAAAUAACAAUUCAAUGCUUCCACAAUUAGAAACAUCCAGCUUUUCCAGACGACCCAGCAAAGACAUGGGAUUGGUUGGAAACAGAUUCACAAGAUUAUCACAUUCCCUCACUCUAAUCUCUCUCAACAUGCAGGCAUUAACUUCGUCACUACUACUAAAUUGAUAAGGCCAUAUCUCUUUCAGCUUAUCCAUCCUCAAAAUCUCCAAUUUCUCCAGCAUAGGAAUCAACACCUGCGCAACAAUUAGGACAUGUUGAUCAUCAAUAACACCAUCUAAUGACAAUAUAUUGGGCAAUUAUAUUAAAAAUAUUUUGGUUAAGGAAUGUACCCCUUUGUUGAAGAAAGGUUGAAUUGCAGAGACAUUACUGGACAUAGAAGAUGUUGCAGAUGUUUUCUCAGGAUAAAUGCUACUGAAAUUAGGAAGGCCAUCAAGUUUCAACUCCACCAGCUGUGGUAGCUCAAUUACAUUAGCAGUGUUGCAAAGACCUAUCAACUCUGGUAGCAUCUUCAAUGAUAGAAACUUUAGCCCCUGAAACCUAAUUGCCCCAUCUCCACCAUUCUCACUAUGUGCAAGUACUUCCAGAACAGGGCACUGUGAAACUGUGAGGCGUUCAAGGUUCAUCAAACCAUUUGCAAUAGGGACUGUGAAGAGGAAUCUCAAGUUUGCACACUUGAAGACAUCAAGGACUCUUAGAUUAUUAAACGACUGUUGAUGAAAAUCAUCCAUACCAUCCACUUCUAGAUAAAGCACCUCUGUUUUCACAAACAACUCAUUCAAUCUAGAUUCCAAUAGCUCAUCUUUGUUAGUGACCAACAUCAACGUGUUUUCAAAUGAGUGCAUCUUUAAUCCAGGAUUGUCUCCUAAACCACAUCCCAUAGAGAUCCUGAACCUUUUGAGUUUAGUAAACAGCAUAUUCUCGGGUGUACCGUUGUCAAAGAACUCAACUUCUAAUGCAGAAAGGUGCUCUGAAAGUUUUGCUAAUUCAGCAUGAUUACUGUCUGUGAACCUAAUUGCCUUUUCAUCAGCAACUCUCAUAUAAAACUCUUCAAGAUUGACCAAAUCUUUCAAAACACCAUCAUCAAUACGAAGAUUGACACAGCCCGUCAAAUCCAGUAGCUUUAGCUUCUUCAACUUUCCGAUUGUGGAUGGUAACUUUCUGAUGCCACAAUAAGCAAAACUGAGCACUUCCAAAUUCAAGAGUUCACCAAUAACAGAGCAAUCAAGCAUCAAUGUGCAUCGAUGGAAGACGAGUGUCCGAAGCUUGGUGGAGCACUGAAGUGAUCUGGGGAGCAACGGAUACUGCAUUUUUUCGUACGCUAUAACUUCAAGAUUUUCCAUUCUUUCAUAAAAAUCUUCAGGAAACAUAAGCGACUUAUCUCCAUCCAUAAGUCUCAAAAGUGAUACGUUUGGGUACUUAGACUCACUAGAAAACUCAGACAUACCCGUGCAAGUAAUAGAAAUUCUGUUACAAGACUCACUGGUUCCAGCACUAGUCCACUUUGAAUUAUCACCAUGGUUGAUUAUCCAUGGAUGGUCACCCUUAGAAACUCUACCUACAACAAAAUCGAGCACAAGAUCAUGCAUUCUGACACACCCAUCAUCAUCGCAUUCCAUCAACAAAUUUGCUUUUUUGAGACUCUGCACACACGUCUCUGUCCUGUCUCUAGCCUCUCCCAAAGUAGAAACUCCAUUUAACAACCGUAGGCCCCAUGCAUGUCUUGUGAGUUCCUCGAUUGGAAUAUUAAAGUCAUCGGGAAACAAACCACAAAGAAGAAAGAUCUCUUUUUCCUCAUCCUCUUUUAUAUAGUCAUAGCUUAUCUUAACACUUUCUUGCACAUAAUCAAGAUUUUUAUUCUGAAAACGGCGGAGUGUAUCUCUCCAUGCAGCCUUUUCUUCAAACUUAAGACGACUGGCAACGAGAUUAAUGGCAAGGGGCAAACACCCACAUUCUCUCACAAUCUCUGUUCCAAUUUGAUUGAGCUCCCGAUCAUUUUGUUUUGCGACUCCUAUGAUUUUCCAAAAGAAAUUUUGUGCUUCUAGCUCCUCCAUGAGUUCCACUCUAACUACUUUCAAAUCAAAAUUACAUUUUUCUGCAAUUUGCUUGCAAGUAUUUUCCUUUCGUGAUGUCAGCAAUAACUUGAAGCUGUUGGGAAAAGGACUUAGUCCAAUAUCUUUGAGAUCGAUCGACUCCCAUACAUCAUCUAAUAUCACUAAAACCUUUUUGUUUUGUUUUACCAGCUCUGUAAAUGCUAUACCAAGACGUUCUGCCCUUCUUGUUGGAUCUGUUUCAGUUAGAGAUAGACUUACGCAUUCUGCCAAAGCUUGCUGAAUAGCAGACGCUUCUUUUUUCCCAAUAACCACCUUUAGAAACAAAUCAAACUUUUUCUCACCUUCCAGAUGCUUUUUCAGCUGUUCCAUCAUGGUCGUUUUUCCCACACCACCCAUUCCACAUAGGGCUAUCAUCUGAUUUUGUUGAAGGAACCCGAGCGCAUCCUUAAAAGGCUUCUCUCUUGAUUUGAAGUGAUUUUGGGCAUCACCAUCCGAAGAUGCGAUUUUAGAAUGCACUCUCCCAAGAGGUUUUUGAGCAUCACUCCAGCUCAUUUGAAGUUUUUCCGUAAUAAGACUUUCGAUCGCCUCAGUAGUCUUACAUGCCUUCCUUCCUGCUCGGUACCUCAUUAUUAUGUUAAAACAUCCACUCUCAGUACUUGAAAUGCUUUGAGCAUCUUUUCUAAUCUGUUCAACCUCUUCCAACCAACCCGGUACACGCUCAGGUAUCUCUAGAUUCUUUAUAUUGUUUGCGUCCCUGUGAUUUUUGACAUCAAUGCUUAUAACAUCCAGUUGGUUCAUUUUAGCACUCAUGUUCCUCACAUGUUUUGUGGAGGAAAAAAGAUAACCCAGAUUUUUCUUGACAGGAGGCAGCAAACAUUCAACAAUUGGACCAGCAAUGAUUUCAAGUAUAAACGCCAUUUUUUUUUGUUCUAGCUUUUUGUGAGACCUGCAAACCGUGUAACAAAUCAAUAAAGGGCAUGAAAUAACAAAAGUUGUGAUUUAGUAUACAUUUAUGCAUUCAUGUUUUAUUAUUAGUAUGUAGAAGUAGAACUAUCUUUUUUCCAAUAUCAUUUAUAAUCCAUAGAUAAAUAGUGUUCAAAAAAUUUAUUCUAAGACUUCGAUACCUUGCAUGGGAAGAGGAAUAGUACACAUAACACAUUUAGUAAGAAACUAAGAUCAGAUGUAGGAAAACUAAUGCUCGUGUAAAUUCAGACAAGUUAUUUAUUUUCUUGUGGAUAUUCCCUUUUGGACUUAAACUUUGCUUUCGUAAACAUAGUGGGAAUAGGUGUUGAUUUCAACAUAUCAUCAUGUGAAUAAUUACAUUACAUUUGAAAAUCUUACACAUAUCAUUGUACAGUCCAAACACAAACAUGCAUAGGUAACAAGGAAAAUGUGAUUCUCACAUACUUCGAUGAUGGAUUAUACUCUUGUGAGUCUAUCAAUUCUGUAAAAAACAAUCAAGAUGAAAUAGAAGACAAAACCUAACUACAAAGAUUUUGGGAAAUUUGAACCCUAUUGAGACUUUUAUAAGGAACUUGUUGUGGACAACUCUCCACAUGAGGAUAGAUUAAGAAAGCCUUGAAUGAGAAAAGAAAAGGCAUGCAUAAUCUUGUAUAAGAAAAAGAAAAACCCACAUCUGCAUUUGUGGAACCUGGAGUGUGGUUGGCAUUUUCAAAAAGUUCCCCUUUUUCACUCUCUCUGUACUUACGUCCAUUACCUUUCUAUCUCUCCACCAAAAAAAAAAAACUCUCAAACCCUUGGAGUUUCCCCUUACAGUGAGAAGGAGUAAUGCCGAAAAAAAAAGGUAGAAAAAAUUAAAGGACGGGUCCCAGUUUAAUCGAUGACCUCGAGACCAAGCUAGACAACACCAUCUCUCGUAAGCUUGUAGGUUGCCUCUGCCAUGAUUACGAUAGCAUUAUUCCAUACUUCAAUUAAAUGGGGGCAAAAGCACGUUGUGAAAUUGUUAGGUUUUACAGGCAACAGCUAAUCGAUCGAAGGCAUGAUAUGAAUCUUCUUGAAUUAUCAGCAUAUGGAAAGGGAUAAGAUGUGGAGGAUUUUUAUUCUUUCGCUGCCUCGUGUGUGGGACUUGUGAUCCGUUGACUCAAGGUCAAUGGUAUCUUCAAUCUUGUCUAAAACCCAUAUGGACUUUAUUUUACAUAAAUGGGCUGUCCAAUAAUCUUGGGCCUAGUUAUAAUCGUGAAAAUCACUUUUGAGUGUAAUUAGGUUACAUCUUAUUUGAUGUAUAGGUGCAAUACUAAAACGAGAAAAUGAAUUAGGAUGUUAAUUAUUUUAUUUGUUUUGUUUAUAAUUAGGCAAAAAAAAAUUAUAGGAUAAUCAAACUUUUAGAAAUGUUCAAAUGUUAUCAAUUGUAACUAAUAUUUAGUUUUGAUGAUUAGGAACUUUGUAAUAUAUCUUCUAAAACUAUAUAUUACUUUUAAAUUUAUUUUUACUAUAUUUUUCAAAUAUGGUUAUUAAUAAAUUCCAUUUUGUUAAAUCUUCUUAUAUAAGAAAUAGUUAUGAAUUUGAUAUGGAACAAAUAGCUACAAAAUUUGUUAUGGAAAAAUGAUUAUGAGAUUUGCUACCGAAAUAUAGCAAAUCUUCUCUAUCUUCUCUAUGAUUGUGCGACUCUCUUUUCUUCUCAAUUCGCACAAUGAUACAUGUUUCUAAUAUAGGUAUAUGUCAAAAUAAUAUGUUCGGAUAGAAAACUUAGCAAGUCAUACAAAGGUUAAACAUCAUAAAAUUAAUAUAAAAAGCAUCAUAAAUAUAUUAAACAUAUCACCAUUUUCCGUUGUCAACCAUAUAGAGAACAACAUUUAUACUUAUACAUCUUUAUAGAGAAAAAAAAUUCAUACCCCAUCCGUCCUAUAUUUAUAGUCAAUGUUUUCUUUUUGAUUUGUACCAAAAUAAUAGCUUAUUUCUAAAAAUAAAUAUUCAUUUUACCAAAAUACUCUUCGUUAUUAAUUAAACAGCAAGAAAAUUAAAUACGACUACCAUGAAAUUAAAUGCAAAAAAAGAUAAGACUAUCAUUUUAUUUAACAAAGUUGUUUGUCGAUUAAUGUUUUCUUAAUCUAUGUGUCUUUUUUUUUGCGGGCAAUAAUACGUCUGAGGUCUUAAAAAUUGACUAGGGACUGAACUAGUCGUACACUGGUCGGUCCCAACCUGGUCUAGACCGUCGGUCCUCAUGCAGUCCCAAUUUUCACUAAAAUGUCGGAGCCAGCACCUGAACAGUCUCGGGUCGAACCGCUCUUGGUUCCAGAUCGGUCUUAAACAUCGGAAAGUCAAUCAUGAGUUUUCACUAAAAUAUAAGCAAGAUUCUCUGUCUAUAUUCUUUUCAUGGUAUUAGAGCCAUGAAGAGCUUGUUGGUUUUUAGGAUUUUAGCCAAUAAGGAAAGCCCAAUCUGUUUGGCCCACAUAUAUAUAACUAUUUCCUUGAAAACAACACAUCCAUUAUGUUCCCGGGUUAAAUUCUAAUUGGAUAUUUGUGCAACAAUUAUUUGGCAAUUGCAACUGUUUUGUUCAUUUAACUCCUAACUUUUAUGCUAUAUUAGAUCGCAAUUCAAAGAAGCUGACUGGUGCAGCUGAAAGAAAAAAGGGGAUAUAACAAAUUCUCUCGAUCUUUGGCAUAAACCCUCUAAGCCAUCCCACAUGAAGAAAGUCUUAAUGAUAGAGAUACUAUGUUAACUACAAAUUGUGAAGUGUUUCACUGUGCUAAACAGUGUCAGAAAAAUUUGCAUUACCCAAACAGAUAUGAGAUCUAAUGGUAACCCAUAGGUCUCAGUUUAUACUUUUUCACUUUGUUUCUUUGCAGUGAUUGAAAGUGGGAAUAAAUAGUUGAUUCAACAUCUUUCUCAUAAUGUGAACAAUUGAAUAUCAGUUGAAAAUCUUUCAUAUCCGGUAGUUUAGUUCAAAAAACCCACUCAAACUGAGAGAUUCAUCUAAUAUUUGAAAAAUCAAAAUGAUUGAAAAUGAGAUCUGACACUCCUGUACCUAGCUGGAAACAGAGUCCUACACUCAUAAAAUUACGGGCGAUUUAUUAGGGCUGAUACUGAUCUCUAGUAUGAAGCAUAUAUCAUAAGAAAAUCACUACUUCAUAAACAUUAGUCAAUAAUCAAACCAGAGAAAAUAAAUGAAUAGGCGUUUUCAGCUUAUUUAACAUUUCAGUUGAUUUUAUCUGUAGAAGAUACACAGAAUGCACAAGGACCACAACGAGUAGCAAACUAAACUUGAUUCCAGAUAUCUAGUCAAGGAUCGAUAUAUUUGAAACAGGAAACAACAAAUUCAAGUAAUAGAUUGGUAUUCAUAGAGAAUCUUUUUUAACAAACUCGUACCUGGCUCUGUUCUAUGAGACUGUGCGUAUGCUUGCAAUGUUGCUGCUGGUGCUACUUUGCAAAAAUUCUAAUGGUGUAGAAGAAGACCACUGAUUGAACAGCUAUAUAUUACACUGCCUCAAUUAUUUGGGUGAGUGGGGGACAUAAUUUUCCAUUUGUGCUUAAAAGUUGGAUAUUGGAUAACCUUAUCCUAACACACGUAAAUGUAAUAAUUUUUUAUAUAUUGUAAUAAUCCUUCAAAUAUGUUAAUAUUUGGAAAUUAGUUGUCUGAUUUUAUAAAUCAGCACUAAAACUAUUUUUUCUUAACAUGAUAUGAUAUGGUAGGUAAUUGGGCUAGAAAUGGAUUAUUUUAAAAUUACAUAAAACUAAAAAAAAUUACAACUGAGAAAAUUAUCAUAAUAGUUUUUUUUUAAGGUUUUAUCACAAAAUAGCUACAAAACUGCAAAAUGGCCAAAACACGAAGAAAAAAAAAACUUCACAAGCCCACAUCUACAAAAAGAUGUUUAGCCUGCGAAUUUUUUUUUUUUUUUUUUAAUAUCAAAACAACGUCGUUGACUAUGAAAAUAUGAUUGUUGAUUGCGAAAAAUGAGUUAAAUUAUGAUUUUUUUUUACAAAAAAAAAUGCGAUGUUUUUUUCACAUUAACUACGACAUUCAAGCAAUGGCGGAUCCUUUAUAUGGCUAGGGGGGCCAUGGCCCCCUUAUGUUUUUUUACCUCCUUAAUACUAUAUUAUAUAUAAAUAAAAGUUUGGUUUUAUUUGUUGACUAAGGAUUUGGCCCCAGGUUAAUGAUAAACACAUGGCUGCACCAUUUUUAAAAGAAUUAGCUAGAUUAUUAUAAAGCUUUGCUAUUUUUAGUGUGAUCUAGGCCCAUAUUUAUUUAGAGAAAAAAAUGUAGUUUUUAGAAAAAUUAAGUUAGUGAAACGAUAUGCUAAUGUCAAUAAUAUAUGAUAUCUAAUUUUGUAAAGGUAAUUUUAGUAUAGUUAGAAUAAUUAGUUAUAUUUAAAUAUAAUUAUUAAAUUGUUAUUCUCUAUUAUUAUUUUGUUAAAGCAAAUCUGAUGUAGAUUGAACUACAGUAAUAGAUAAUUUGUCAAGUGUAUUGUCAAACACUUUUGUAAACUUGUAAUACUUUACGUGUAUCGAACGUGAGAUGCUCGAUUUUUGAAGAAGACAGUCUUUAUUAAUCAAAAAUAGAACAACCACAUUACAAAUAAAGGUGCAAAUAUUUAAAGACUCUUAAACGUAAACCUAAUAGAAGUCUAAGACUUUUGAAACAAGGAAACAAACAAAUAAAUAAGGAAAGAAAAAGACUCAACAUUAAAGAAACUAAUUAUCCAAUUACUUGGACUCUACCCUUUCUUUUCGUUGUUGUGGUCCAGAUGGACCAUAGCCACCUCAUCAAAAUCAUAUUACAUAGUCAACAUCAAAAUGAUAAAAAAAUCAACAAUCGUUUCGCCCCCUCCGGUUAAGGGAUCCGUGUUCCGCCCCUGCAUUCAAGGAAUGUACUGUGAAAAUCAAAAUCUUGCAAAACCUCGUAGGACGUUAUCUUAUAAGAGAUUGUUUUGUAAAAUAUUAUCAUAACCAAUUNAGUUGUUUAUUUUUUUUGCGAAUUUUUGUUUGGUGUUGUACUUGAUUGUAGGAAGAAAUAUAAUUACACAAAUGGACAAAUACGGAAACCUCAGGCGUGGAGGAUCAAGUCGGUUAUCAACAAAUAUGUGACAAACAUAUAAUAAUUUUAAUGUAUUUUCAUGAUUUUAUACAGGUUUUGAUGUAUGUGGUAUACCUCCAUGCCAUCUUGAAUAUUUUAUUUACACAGAGUGAAUGAGAGAUAUGGAUCAUAUAAAUUUGUUUCAUCUACCACUUCUUCCUUUUCCCAUAUAAAUUUUAUAAUUCAUAUAUAAGUCCAUGUCUUGGGAAUUCCUUUGUUUUUCAUUUGUUAUAUGGAAUGUGCAAUAGUUGAUUUUCUUAAUUCGUCAUAGUAUUGUAGGGCAACCUAAAACAUCUUAAUGUAAUACUCCCUCCGGCCCAAUUUAAAUGUCCAGGUUACUAUUUUAGGUUGUCCCAAAAUAAAUGUCCACUACUAAAAAUAGAUGAACAAUUUACCAAAUUACCCUUAUGAAUAGAUGAACAGGUUACUAUUUUAGUUAACCAACAUGUUUUUAUUAAUGUGUUAUAUGAAAAGUAAAUUAUGAAAAAAGGGGGUCAUCGAGAGAAUCUGGAAACAAGUAUGUACAAUUGAAAAGAUAAACAAAAUAACUCUACUCAACUAAAAAUCCAAUCCUAUGAAUUUAAUGUGUAGUGACAGUAAAUCAUAAUCACAGAAACAAAACAUCUCAUUCAUUUUCAUUUAAAAAAAAAUCAAAAUACAAAUGUUUCCUUCCAAAUUGGGUGAUGUGCAACAUAUUUUUAUUUUUUCAAAUACAAUAUAGCAUUGUCUAAUAAAUUUUGAUCACAUUCAAUUUGUAAUGGAAAAUUACCUUCUGGUUCUAACCAGCAUUUACCAACAUGUGGCACAUGAUAGUUGUUGCCACCUUGUACUUUUAUGAUUUCUUUCAUGCAUGUUUGUGGAAUUAAAAAAAACCUUGUUAAGUUGUUGUGAUGACAUUCUUUCAAAAGACGUUUGAUCCGCAUCAUCCAAUUCAUCAAUUGUAUGCAAAACCUCUUGUUCUUGAAGUGAUCGUCUUGCUCGAAAGAAUAACCAAGGUCUAACACAUUCUAAUUCGGGCUAUUAGGGGGCUGAAAACAAAGUCGAAUAUCAUAUCCAUGUCGAGAUGCCGCUUCAAGAAACUUGCUAUCGUUGACAUCAAUAUGAGGCUUUGUGUUAUCUUGUUGAAUAAAUAUUAGACCGAUAUGACCUUGCGGCCAUUUGGAUUUGAUAUCCCGUAGAACCUUUUCUAUCAACCAUGACCUUGUUACUUCUUUGUUCACCGAUAAAAUAGGUUUCGUAUCCAAUGUUCCCAUAAUACGGUUUUUUCUUGAACGCUUAGUAGGUUCUAAUGUUGUAAACGGGUAGAUACCAAUUUUUCCUGAAUAUACUUUGUUACCUAAUGAAUCAAAUCUUGGUCUUGCUACAGCUGCUAGAAACAUAGCUUUUGUGAUAAACUUUUUGGCUUUACAUGUUUGCAACGGUUUAUCCUCACCGGGGACAAGGUAGUGACGUUUUGGUGGUUUUGAUAUGUAAAACUACUUUUCAUCAAUAUGAAAAACAUUAAACAUAUCAUAGAAUGUAGAAAUCAGACUUAAUAAUGAUUGUGUAGUAAUCUUUGAUUAGCAAAAUUCUAACCUUUCUCUUCUAUUAUCAUGAGUUAGAGUCGAAUUGAUGGAAUUUGUAUGUGGUCGAAGUACACAUUCCUUGAUACGUCUAUGCAUCGUUGAUUUCGAGAUAUUUACAAAUUUCACAAGAGAUCGUAUAUUGGCUUGACGGCAUAAUGGAAUUUUUGAAACUUGAUUCAAGUUUAUUUGUACCCUUUUCCACCCAACAAAAUUUGGUUUAUUUGAAGAUAAAUCAACCAAUAAUCCUUCGACAUUAGCUUGAGUUCUUUCGAGAGUUGUUAUUGGUUCCACCACUACCAUUCCGCAUGAAGGGGGGUAUUAAGCACAUGUAAAGUCUAGAAGCUACGGUACAUACGAAAAGUAUAUGGUAUAGUUUUUACCCUUACUUGUACUUACUUCUUGAGAGUUGUAAGUGUAAAUGUUUUAAGUAUCUAUAGACAUCCUGUAACAUUCGAAUCCAGGUAUUUCCUUUUUUAAGUCCCUAUUAUAAAUCAAAUUGGAAAAGAAGGCCCUUUGUAUGUUGGGCAUAUGUAUAUGUACGCUUAGCAUACAUGGGCGUAUUGAUCGAGUAGCGGAGCCACAUACGCAGUGCGUACGAAGCAUACACGGGGCGUACGUGGCUAAAAGGCAAAAACCCUAAUUUACGGACAUGAGCCCUAUUUAAGCUCACUUAUGACCUUUGUACCUCACUCUUAUCAGCCUUCACUCCUUUAAACGUCCCUAAAAACCCUAUUUUCCCAUUAGGAGUGAUCUUUAAGCAUUGGGGUAACUUUGGUGGCCUUUUUAUUGUGUUUGCAAGAAGAAUAAGUUGGUGUUCAUGCUUUGGGCAUGGGUGAUCUUCAAGAUCCUAAAUCUACAUCAUCUUGGGGAGCUUUUGAAGGUAAAAAGCCCUUACCUUGUUGAUCCUUUACAUAGGUAGAGUAAGUAUUUGCUUAUAAGUUCAAUUUUAUCCAUGGAUUCCCUUUUGUGAGUUAAUUUGGGCAACUCCAGAAGCUUGAAAUGCUAGAUCGUAGUUCCUUUGGUGUGUUAAAGGCAUAAAAUGCUAUCUUGGUGGUCAUUGUGACACCAUGCAUGGAAGUAGGUUCUUAAAUUGGGUCUUAAUGGACAAAAUUGGAUGUUGGACUCCCAUAAGACAUGCAAAGGCAUAAAGUUGCCAAAUUUAUGCCCUAGAACCCCUUAAAUGAUGAAGAAGUGUGUGUGUUUGUGUGUGUGUGGAGAGAGAGAGAGAGAGACAGAAAGAGGAGGGGGAGAGAGAGAGAGAGAGAGAUGUGAGGAGUAUUGAGAUAGACGAUUUCAUAAUAUAAAUUAGUUAAUAUAAUAAUUUGGAUAUUAUAUUUUUAAUGACUAAUAUGCCCUUGUGAUCAUUUCUAAAAAGUCUAAGAUACCAUUUAAAUUGUUGAUAGAUACAGAUCUUCCAUCUUUCAUCUAGACCAUGAAAAUUUUUGAUCUAACGUUCCACUUUUAGUUCUUGGGAAACUAUAGGUUCUCAAAUGAUCCUCUCUCUCUCUCUCUCUCUCUCUCUAUAUAUAUAUAUAUAUGUUCCUAUUUAUUUUUUAAUACUUAUUAAAUAUUGAAAAAAGGAAUAAUGGUAUUAUAGUCUUUUCAAAUUGGAAAGAUACCUUUUCCACACACAAACAUGGUAAAAAGGACCAGCAAUCUUGUAACAUUCGAACCUUGUAAGUUUCCAUUUUAAACCUUCCUAAACAAAACAUUUCAAUUUGGUCCUUUUGGCUAGUAUGCGGGGCGUACUCUAUGAGUACGCUCGGCGUACUAGGCUGAAGUCUGAUCCCGGGCAUCGACCACAUACAUUGGGCAUGUGUGGAUUACAUUGGGAGUACGUUGGCUAGGGGAAAACCCUAAUUUUUAGGGGUUUUGACUUAUUUAAGCGUCAUUAACCCACCUCUUAGAUAUGUCUUACCAGCCUCCAUAUCCUCAAACCCCAACUUCGUCCCUUAGCCUUUGUGUGGUGCCUUUGAGCUCUUAUGAAGCAUUUUUUGUGUGUUUUCGCAUCCUGAAGAGGACGGAGAAGAUUGAAGACUCAUCCUUUGGAGAAGAUUUUUGAGAUCCAAAUUUAGCUUCUUCAUUUUGUGGCUUUAGAGGUAUAAUGUCCAUAACUUGUCAAUUCAUUUCAUAAAUCUACUAUUUGGCUUGUUUAUGGUCAUUUUGGUCCCUUUUGGUUGGUCCUUGUGAGGUAAGGCCUUUUCUGGAAUUUAACGUUGUAGAUCUGGACAUAUUAGGGGUUCCUUAACCAUAAAGAUGCAAUCUUUAUGGUUUUAUGGACUCAUGCAUGUGUUAAGUCAUUUGUUAAGCUAUUUUGAGCUCUAGAGCCCCCAUUAAGCCAUGUAUACACGUAAUGUUGCCAACUUUACAUGAUAAAUCAUCUUUUAGGACUAGAUAUGAGAGUAUGGAGUAGGGGCUAAAUGGAUUAAGUGCUUAUUUGAUGGGGUUGACCAACUGGUGAGUACGUUGGGUGUACCAAGCUAGUACGUUACACGUACUUUCCCAAGGACGUAUACGUUGAGCGUACGAGCUAAGUACAUCUCAUGUACUUAGCAGAUGGGCUUCGGAAGUUUGGGUUUCUCAUCUUUGGGCCAUGUUUGGACUUUAGGUGAAUAAGGCCUUGUUAGGCCAUCAAUUUUUAUUUUGGGCUGAUGCUUUUAUUUUGGGUUCACUAGGAUGAAGGUCCACGAAGGGACUUGGGCCUAAUUUGGAAAAUUGAGCCAUAAUCAGGCUCUUGUGAUUGUGAUUUGGAUGGGUUCCUUUUGUAUGGGGGUUAAGCAAGUAUAAGGUUUCAUAAUUUUAGUGGUGGUAUGUCGGUUCGGUAGUUAAAGGAAGCAGUGUAUUGUUCAGCCCUGGAAGGUUCAUCUCUUUGUUCAUCUCGCGUUGCUCAUUAUGUUCAUGGAAUUGUUAUCAUUAUGAUGAGUCUCUCUCGAAGGAAUAUCUAAUCACUUUAGUCAAAUGAAAGGUUGUCGAUGUCAACAUAUGAUCUAUGAUUUUGUUUUCUAGCGGGAACCUCAAGUAAUCAGAAAUUGAGUACUCAGUUUGGGAGAUAAGUGGAAUGGAAUUAGAAACAGUUCAGUGCAGGCGGUCUGUUAGGGAGUCAGACCAAUUCGAGACUUCAGAUUUCAGGUUGAGUAGAUGUGGCUUUUCUACAUGGGAUUGUUUUAGGAUGGGAUUAUAUGGAAUGAUUUCAAGGAUGAAACCUAAUUUAAGUAGGGGGGAGUUUUAACGCCCUGUCCCCAGUCGUUUACCAUGUGGGUGUGGGGGACAAAAUUUAGAUGAUCCGGGUGUUCAGUUUGUGUUUUGGAGCCAAGGGGUAUUUUGGUAAAGUGUCAGAUCAAGAUUUUAUGGAAAUUGGAUUUUGUUCGGGAAAUAUUAAGCCGCGUAUGAGUUGAUAAAAGCGUAAAGCUUCUCUUUACCUUUUUAUGGAUAUGAGGAUCGUCGAAAUCGGAUUUAUAACAAAGAAGUUAUGGCCUUCAAAGUAUUUUAGGGUUUAAGGGAUACCCUAGUACGCGGGGCAUACAUAGGGAGUACAUGGGGCAUACUAGUGCAAAGUGAAGUACGUUGGGCAUACACUGGUGUAUGAUAAGCGUACCAAGGAGGAAUGAUCAUGAAGCCUUGGCCUCUUACAUUGGGCGUACAAAGGAGUACGCUGGGCAUACGAGGAGUACAUGGAACCCUAAUUUUGAGUGUGUUGUACGCUAUUUAAGUACCUUAAGUCUUAGGGUUGGCCUCUUUACCAGCCCCCAAACCUCCUAAAACCCUUAAUCGACCCUUAAAUAUUCUUUCUGCUGUUCUUGAGCUCUUGAGAAUAUUUUGUUGGUCAUUUUUCCCAUUGUGACGGAAGUAAAGAAGAUUGAAUAUGCUUUUCUUGGUGAGGAGCCUAUAGAUCCAGAAUCAUCACCCUUUUUGCAAGCCUUUAGAGGUAUCAAGUUCAUACCUUCGCUUGUAAAUGCUUAGAUCUCUUUUUAAUUGAUUGGUUAUGUUUUUGAUCCUUUUUUGGGUUGUUUAUUGAGUUAAGACAUUUGAAGGACUUAUUCCUUUAGAUCUGAGCUUAUUGGGAGUUCCUUAAGCAUAAAGGUGCCAACUUUAUGGGGUAUUGGGUCUCAUGCAUGCAUUAAGUCACAUAUUAAGUCCUUUUUAAGCUUAAGAGCUUCAUUUAUCCAUGCAUGAAUGUAAAGUUAGUAACUUUACGUGAUAAAUCAAUCCAAGGAAGUCAGAUCUAGGUUGUGGAGCCGAUUCUUUAUGUAAUAAGAGCUUAAUAUGGAAGUUGGUUAUACACGAGGGUACGUUAGGCGUACAAGAAGGUACGCUUAGUGAUAUUGUCAUAUUUAUACACAUUUUAGGCAAUAACUGAAUACAAUUUUAUACAUAUUUUGGUUAUUUGCAAAGAUAAAUGGUACUUAUAAGAUCGAAUUGUAUUUUGCAGCCAAAAGGAACAUUCUUGAAGGAAAAGGACCAAAAGCGACAAGAUUGGAACUUUGGGGGAUUGGAGCUUAAAAGAUGAAUAUUUCAGAUAAAAGUCAACCUCACGAUGUGAGGAAUUAACUCUCACGACAUCAGUCAUAACAUUUUAGAAGAUAAACAUUUAGAGGACAUAAUACAUGUUCGAUACGGAUUACAACUGAGCUCACGGCGUGAGCUUCUAUAUCUCACAACGUGAGCAGGGUAAUUACCAAAAUCUAUAUAUAUCCUUGGCACUUACAAAUGAAGGACUUCUUCUGGAGAUUUGGAGGUUUUAGAGAGAGAAUUCUGGAGAAAAUAAGCCAGAGGAUUCAAGUGUUAAGCAUCCAAGGAAGAAGAAUUGAUUGAAGAUCAUAAUCUUUACUUAGUUUGGUACAUUCAACUAUGUUUUUAUUUAUUGAAUUUAUGUGGGUGAUUUCAACCAUGAGUAGCUGAAUUUAGCUGCUUCUAUUUAGCUAAAUGAAGCCUCAACUUAUGGAUUAGCUAAAUUGAAUUAUGGAUUUUUAGUAGUUGGUUAUGUUCUUGUGUUAGAUUGUGAAUACCUAGCAUGCUAAUAUUUGAUGCUUUAUUUGCUUGAAUUCAUGUUCUGUGUAGCUUAGUAACUAUUAAAUUACAUGAACUUGACACCUAGUAAUUUAGUGAGCAUUGAAUUACUAGAGCUAGGAUCGAACCAAUCUUAGAUAAGUAAUUAAAGUAACUGAAUUUAGCUGUGUUGGAGAACAUGAAUUAUGACCAAAAUUGUCUUUAAUAAAUAAAUCUUACAUAGCCUCAUUCAUAAUGCAUAGUUGAUUUUGUGUUUGAUUGUGUGUGACCACACAUAGUUUUACAUGAAUUAGUUAAAUAUUAGUAAAUUUGGACUUAAAUUACUAAUAAUACAAAAUUUGGUAACCAACUAUAAUAAUCCAUAAUUGUUAGCUAACCAUAAAGGAGAAGUGGAUUUGAACUAAACGGAAGUGUUUUAAAUAUUUGAUUAAAUAGUUAUUGAGUGAUAAAGUUUGUCUGAGCAAAAUCAGAUAAAAAACAACUUUUGCUUAGAAAUUUAGGUCAGUUUAGUAGUAAUUAGGUUAAUUAAUUAUAUAUGUUCCCUGUGUUCGAUAUCCGAUUGUUUGUGUUAAACUAUAUGUGAAAAUGUCCACUGCCUUUAGUCGAAUAACUAGUUAGAUAGUUGGUAUUUGGUAAAAUUAGGUGUAGUAAUAUUUUGACAUCACUUAGUGUAUAAGCCCUAAGGCAAGUACAUUGCGCGUACUCAAGAGUAGGCCUCAGAACUUUUGGUCUAUGUUUGGGCCAUAGUUUGGGCUUAGAUGUUCAGGGCCUUGUUGGGCCAUCAAAACUUAAGUGUUUUGGACUAAGAAUGUUGUUGAACCUUGGAUUAAAGCUUAUGGAAGGGUUUGGUCCCAAUUUCGAAAAUUAGGCCAUGUUUAGGCCUUGUAUGAUUAUUUGGUAUUUGGGCGUUUUAGAUUAUUAGGUUUGGGAUUAAGUCUUGGUCCAAACUAGGUACGGGGUAAAUUGGUCAUUUACCCUAAUUAUGGUCUGAUGGUUAUGGAUUGGAAUCCAAUUGUUAAUUCAAUGUUAUUUGAUAUUGAUAGUUCGGGGAUUUGUCGUACCAUUAGCCAGGAAGUUAUCGGUGUGGUUCAGUAGUGUGAGGUGAGUCUUCUCACCAUAUCCAUGGGUCGAAGGCACUAAUGUCGACCCAUUAGUUGUAUGGUAGACCCCGGGGUAGCCCAUGGAUAGUUAUGAGAGAGAGAGAGAGAGCGAGACAAUGUGGUGGGUUGCGGUGGGUGUGGGCCCUUUUCUUAUUUUUAAAUAACCAAAAUAACUAAUAAAUGGAAAAACUAAAUCAAAUAGGUAAGAAGUCUUUUCAAGUUUAUGACCAAAUCGACAAUGAAAGUAAGCCUGUUUGUACAGUACCAAAAGAAAAUGAAAAAUCCUUUUUUGCAAUUAUCUAUAAAGAUAAUAACGAAAGGUACGUAGUUUUGGCAUUUUAUAUAUUUACCUUCCAAUUCCUUUUAUAAAUUUGCAAACCAACACAAUUUUUUCUUCUCUUAUUCUCAUCCCAUUACUUGUCAACCAAACACAUGUAAACUUAAAAUUCCUUCAUAUUCUAAUCGUGAUCAAAAUUCCUUUCUAAACAUUUCGCAAACCAAAUGUGCCCUUAGAAGUCACGAUCAAUUCACAUUUUGACAAGGGGAGCAAUAUUCAUCUGAAUUGAAGCCAAAAGAAGUUUGUUAAAGGGUGUUUGUAUAUCCAUUGAAAAUGACUAGUCGACUUGACAUAAAUAACCAUUUUUAAGAGUUCAACAAUAACUCAUUUUGAUUAUAAGAACCAAAUCGUGGAUGUAGGUAACGAAUUGCAUUAAACUAAUUAUUGAGAUUAAAGUAAAUUACAUUACUAACUCCCCAAAAAAUCUCAAGCAAAUUAUACAAAUUGAAGGCCCCAAAAAUCAAGGUAAGCUACUUGCUAGUAGCCUAGCUGCAAACUUAUUUCUAGAUUAAGUGUACUUGUAACAUCCCAAACUACCUUCCACAUCUAUCCGUACUUUCCUCAAGAACUGCCUCGACUCCACCAAGUCCCUUCUACUACUACUGUUGAUCUCAUGCUAAUCUCAUCCUAGGCUUGCCCUAGGUAAUCGCCAUCCCACUCUCUACCAUCAGCUGUACAAGAAGUUCCUGCUUUCUUCCCCUAACUAGCUCGCGGAUACUAUUACAUAUUACUCAAACUAGAUAAUUCUUCAAAUGAGAGGUCAUACCCUACAACGGUUGGACUCAGACAAGAGCUGCGAAAUUGGGCUAGACCAACCUUCUGGAAUUAUUUAGUCCUUGCAAUAUCUAACUUAGCAUAUUCGUUUACUAGUUAGUGAAAGACAACUAGAACUCCUAAAAGCACAUAGCAAGCAACAUUCGGGCAUUGAGUACACAUAAUCAAGUAUAUACUACUCUGGCUAUCAUACUGACUGAUCUGUACUAGCAUACAAUGCUAAUCUCAUACUAUCAGGCAUAACUUAAACAUGUUAUCCCACUACUGUCUACUCAAUACUAGCAUGCAAUUCUUAUAAAUCUGAAGCACAUAAAGUAGGCACAUAAGGCAUCAUUCCUAGAUCCUUAGUCCUAUUCUAGCAUGCUGUUCUACUGAAACUGAAACUAAUAAUCAUAACAUAACUUGUAUGGGUACUUUGGGGAAAACUUACUUGAGCUCGGCUGGUCGCGCGCAUCACACAUUUUCUCAAAACUCUUUUACUUAUCCUUUAGAAAUUCAUUUCUUUAUAAAAAUCUUUUAAUCCCUCGAUUUGAGUCCAGACAUCCCCCCGAAGGUGUGUCCGAAUCCCUCAAACCAGGGCUCUGAUACCAACUUGUAACAUCCCAAAAAUACAGGCCAAAAAUUUCAUUUUUAAAUCAAUGCUUUGGAAAAACAUUUGUGAAUAAACAUCGCCUGAUCAUAUCAUUUCAUAAACAUAUUUCAUGUCUGAAAUCCAACAUAUAAAAACAACCAUAAUGUCAGAGUACAAAAUCCCAGAAUAACUCAUGAUGCGGAAAACAAUGUGUGUGUAAGAUGUGCCGCUACCGCACCAGCUCCUUCCCCUUCGAUGAAGAGGUACCUGAAAAUAAAACUGUAAACUGUAAGCACAAAGCUUAGUGAGUUCCCCCAUCGUCCACAUACCAUACAAUAAUAUAGCAUACAUUUUGCCAGGCAUUUCUGGGGUGCCCAACCUACCCGGUACGGCCAUUCUGGGGUGCCGACCUACCCGUACGGCCAUUCUGGGGUGCCGAUAUACCCAUGCGGCCAUUCUNNNNNNNNNNNNNNNNNNNNNNNNNNNNNNNNNNNNNNNNNNNNNNNNNNNNNNNNNNNNNNNNNNNNNNNNNNNNNNNNNNNNNNNNNNNNNNNNNNNNNNNNNNNNNNNNNNNNNNNNNNNNNNNNNNNNNNNNNNNNNNNNNNNNNNNNNNNNNNNNNNNNNNNNNNNNNNNNNNNNNNNNNNNNNNNNNNNNNNNNNNNNNNNNNNNNNNNNNNNNNNNNNNNNNNNNNNNNNNNNNNNNNNNNNNNNNNNNNNNNNNNNNNNNNNNNNNNNNNNNNNNNNNNNNNNNNNNNNNNNNNNNNNNNNNNNNNNNNNNNNNNNNNNNNNNNNNNNNNNNNNNNNNNNNNNNNNNNNNNNNNNNNNNNNNNNNNNNNNNNNNNNNNNNNNNNNNNNNNNNNNNNNNNNNNNNNNNNNNNNNNNNNCAUACAACUCCUACUGGUGGGCCGGCAUUGUGGCCGUAGACCCACCGCUACUGGAAGGUAACUCACCUCGUAGUAACUGCUGAUCUGUGCGGGAACUCUCUGUCUGCUGCUGCUGCUGCUCCGGAAAUCCUCCGUCUAUAAAUCCCACAAAACACCCUAUCAGAGUCUGAUAUCUACUCUUUGGGUAAAAUGACCAUUUUACCCCUGAUCAAGUCAAGUCAAAGUCAAAGUCAACUUUCAGUUGACCUGACUCGCCGAGUUGGGCCUCCAACUCGUCGAGUCCCUAACCAAUCGAUUGUCCUUACUCCCGUCCCUACUCGUCGAGUAUGGCAUUGACUCGACGAGUUCUCCUUCUAUUCAAAUGUCCAAUGAUCCUUCAUCCGACUCGCCGAGUUGUAUGAACAACUCGUCGAGUUCAUCUUAUCCGAUGAACACUCUAGUCUGGACUCGCCGAGUUGUAUGAACAACUCGUCGAGUCUGUUCUUGAGGCAAGAAGAUUGCAUUGGACUUGCCGAGUCAGGGCAUUGACUCGCUGAGAACCUGCAUUGCUGAGUCUGGCUUCCGAUUCACUGAGUCCACUUAUAACUCACUGAUCCCACUCGGCAUAACUCAAAAGGGGAAAAUCGGGGACUCGUGACUCGACUCGCCGAGUCCGAAGAACGACUUGCCGAGUCGUAUACAUGUAAUCACUAUAUACUCGAUUCUGCUUGAAUCCAGUUCAUUCCAUUCAUAGAUCUAGGUUCUUAGGGUUCGUUUAACACGUAAAGUUUCGCACUUUACGUGUAUAUAAGCAUCAAUGAAGGUUAAAAGGCUCAAAAUGCACUAAAAGAGUAGAUCUAGGGCUUUUCAUGCAAUAUGGCUCCAUAAAGGUAUUAGAUCUGAGCUCCUAGAGCUCAAUCAUGCCUAGAUUUGAAGUCCCUUAACAUUAUAAGCUUAUUACACAAAGAUCAAGACUCAAAGAGGCCUCAAAGUGACUAUUUUAAGCUCUUAAUGAGAUAAUAAUGAAGGAACAGAAAGGGUUUUCGAGUUAUACCUCACUUAACUCUGAAAUGGACUCAAAGCCUUUGCUCUUCUCCUUCUUCUUUAGUCCUUCCUUCCUUCUCUUCUACAAAGCUUCAAGAAAAUCACACAAAAGCACUCAAAUCACCAAAGGAAGGGUUAGGGUUUCGUGAGGGACACUCUGGUUGUGAAUGGGGGCCGACAUGGGGCACAUAAGGAUGUUUAAAUAGAGUGCAAACCCUUGAAAUUAUGGUUUCAUCCAGACUGGAGGAGUCGCCGAGUCCAGAAUAUGAACUCGUCGAGUCGCCAACUUAAACGUGCUCAAUAUCCCGUCUCUACUCCGCGAGUCGGGCCUACAACUCGUCCGGUCCAAGGCUAAAAAUGCAAAAUACUUAGAUCAAUCUUAUGUACCAGGAACCAGGUGCUACAAAUCUCCCCCACUUAUUUUAGACUUCGUCCUCGAAGUCUGCCUCUCGCUCCGGGAAAAGCUCGGGAUAGUGUUCCUUCAUCUCUUCUACCUGCUCCCAAGUCCACUCUGAACCCUUCCGGUGCUGCCAUUGCACCUUUACUAGCUCCACCUUCUUGUUCCUUAGAUUCUUCGUCUUCCGAUCGAGGAUCGCUACUGGUCGCUCAAUGUAGUUCAGGCUGUCAUCAACCUGAAUAUCCUUCAUCUUCCGAUCGAGGAUCNNNNNNNNNUCCACUAGGCACUUCCGCAGCUGGGAGACGUGGAAGGUGAUGUGGAUCUGACUAAGUUCGGCUGGCAGAUCCAGCUUGUACGCUACCUUGCCCAACUUUCCCCGUUUCCUAAAUCGGAUGUCACCCUUCCAUGGCGACACCUUCAGGAGAACCAUAUCCCCGACCUGGAACUCCAGGUCUGAUCGGCGCUUGUCGGCAUAACUUUUCUGUCGACUCUGUGCAGUCUGAAGCCUGCUCCGAAUCUGCUGAAUCCUCUCGGUCGUCUUGAGCACCACUUCGGUGCUCCCCAUGACCCUCUGGCCUACCUCACCCCAACAUAUCGGGGUCCUGCACCUCCUCCCGUACAACAUCUCGAAGGGAGGACGGUCAAUACUCGCGUGGUAGCUAUUGUUGUAUGAAAACUCAGCUAGAGGAAGAUAGGUAUCCCAGCUACCACCGAAGUCUAGCACGCACGCCCGCAACAUAUCCUCCAAAGUCUGGAUGGUCCGCUCACUAUAACCAUCGGUCUGCGGGUGAAAAGCGGUGCUAAAAUGCAGACGAGUACCCAGCUCUUCAUGGAACUUCUUCCAAAUCCUAGAAGUAAACCGUACAUCUCUGUCUGAAAUCACGGAGACUGGCACUCCGUUCCGCGCCACCACCUCUCCGAUCUAGAUAUCGGCUAACUUCUCUGCCAAGAUACUCUCCUGGAUCGGGAUGAAGUGGGCGCUCUUGGUCAACCGAUCCACGAUGACCCAUAUAAAAUCCACUCCCCGUGUGGUCCUUGGAAGCUUGGUGAUAAAAUCCAUCGUGAUGUCUUCCCAUUUCCACAGUGGGAUAUCCAACGGCUGCAUCUUGCCGUGUGGACGCUGGUGCUCGAACUUGACCUUCCUGCAGGUCAAGCACCGCUCAACGUACCAUGCUACAUCCCGCUUCAUGCAGGGCCACAAAUAGUCCAGACGAAGAUCCCUAUACAUCUUCAUUGCCCCUGGAUGAAUGGAAAAUCGGGAUUUGUGCGCCUCCUCCAUCAGAACCUGGCGCACGCCUCCGAGGUAUGGAACCCACACCCUGCGGUGUAAUGUCAAUAAUCCUCUGUUGUCAUAGUCGAAGGAGGAAACCUGACCCACUAUACGCUCACUCUUCCGAUGUUCCUCCUUCAUGGCCUCCUGAAUCCGCUACAAAAGUGGAGUCACCACUUUCAUCCGCAUGCAGAUACCUCUGAUCAGCACCGCCUUGCGGCUAAGCGCAUCAGCCACCACGUUACCUUCCCCGGAUGGUAGAGGAUCUUGCAAUCAUAAUCCUUUACCACAUCAAGCCACGGACGCUACCUCAUGUUCAGAUUUGGCUGGUCCAUGAGAUACCUCAAACUCUUAUGGUCCGUAUCGUACAACGGACCCCAUAGAGGUAAUGACGCCAAAUCUUGAGGGCGAAUACAACAUCCCCCAACUCCAAAUCAUGCAUCGGGUAGUUCGCCUCGUGAGGCUUUAGCUGCCUCGACGCGUAGGCGAUGACAUGCCCUCUCUGCAUCAAUACUGCGCCCAAACCUGAGAUGGAUGCAUCGUAGUACACAACAAAAUCCUCCAUGCCCUCUGGCAGGGCUAAGAUUGGUGCCUCGCACAAUCUCUGUCUCAGAAUCUCGAACGCUGCCUGCUGCUCAGGCCCCCAACGAAAUACCACGACCUUCCUCGUUAGCCUGGUCAUGGGUAAUGCUAUCUUGGAGAAAUCCUGGAUGAGUCUCCGAUAGUAGCCAGCUAAUCCCAGGAAACUCUGAAUCUUAGAUGGAGACUUCGGAACCUCCCAUCUCAUCACGGCCUCUACCUUGGCCGGGUCUACCGAAAUCCCGUUCUGUUUGACAAGGUUCCCAAGAAACUACACCUCGCGCAACCAGAACUCACACUUGGAGAACUUGACAUACAAGUUCUCCCUCCUCAAAGUCUCUAGAACCUCUCACAGAUGCUCCUCGUGCUCCUCCUGUGUCUUGGAAUAAACCAAGAUAUCAUCAAUAAACACUAUUACAGACCGAUCUAACAUCGGUCUGCACACGCGGUUCAUGAGAUCCAUGAACGCGACAGGAGCAUUGGUGAGCCCGAAAGGCAUCACCACGAACUCAUAGUGGCCAUAACGCGUCCAAAACGCCGUCUUCUGUACAUCCUCCUCUAUGACCCUCAUCUGAUGAUACCCUGAACGCAAAUCAAUCUUGGAGAACCAAGAUGCUCCCUGUAGCUGGUCAAAGAGGUCGUCAAUCCUCGGGAGUGGGUAACGGUUCUUCUCCGUUACCUUAUUCAGCUCCCUAUAGUCUAUACACAUACGAUGCGACCCGUCCUUCUUCUUCACAAAAAGAAUCGGGGCUCCCCAAGGCGAAUUACUCGGCCUGAUAAAUCCCUUGUCUAGCAGCUCCUUCAGCUGCGUAGACAACUCCUGCAUCUCGGGAGGAGCCAACCGAUAUGGUGCCUUGGCUAUCGGAGCCUCACCAGGGACCAGGUCGAUCCUGAAGUCCACCUGUCGCUCCGGAGGUAUCCCUGGCAACUCCUCGGGGAAUACAUCCGCAAACUCUCGUACCACGGGCACAUCGCCCACCGUCGCCCUACCCGUCUCCCGGGUACCCAUAAUAUACGUGACAUAUCAUGUGCAACCCUGCUGAAGGUAAUGCCUAGCUCUCGUUGUUGAACACAAAGAUGGUCCUUGCUGUGGCCUCUCGCCCUGAAUCACUAACUCUCCCCCACCUGGGGUCCUGACUCGCACUAGCUGUUGUGCGCAAUCUAUCACUGCCCCAUUAGGGCUGAGCCAAUCCAUGCCUAUAAUCACCUUGUUCCCACGUAAUGGAAUGGGAACCACGUCUACCAAGUAGCGCUCCUCAAAUAACCUCAGCACACAGUCUCGGAAGACCUCAGAUGCUCGCACUGACCGAUCAUCUGCAAUCUCGACCUCUAGAGGGCAAUCCAACAUGCCCGAAGACUCAAAAAACUUCUUGCUAAGCGCAAGAGAAAAAAAUGAUCAGGUAGCACCCGAAUCAAACAAUACAUGAACUGGGAUACCGUUCACAUGGAGUGAUCCUAAACAGAGAACAUAUCAAUAUCAUAAAUAAAUCAGAGGGAAAGAAUCGUACCCGUCACCACAUCGGGUGCGGUGCGUGCCUCCUCGGUCGUCAACUGAAAAUCCCGACUCCUCACCACUGGAGCCUCUGCCUUGCCCUACCUGUCAUCUGUAAUCCGCAGGGUCGUUGGGGCUGGCGCCUUCACUGGCGCUGCUGCUGUCAACUGGGGGCAAUUAGCCUUCUUGUGGCCCCUCUGGUUUCAGUGGAAACACAUCAACUCUGACGUCUGUAACACAGGUGCAAGGGCGGUACAAUCCCUGCUGAAGUGCCCUGUCUUGCCGCAUUUAUAGCAGCCCUACGAUCCCAACCUACAUGCCCCCUGAUGUGGCCUGCCGCAUUUCCUGCAGCGGCCUGAUCCUGUCUGGCCUUUCGGCCUACCAUCUGAUCCCUUGGGCUUCUUCCCCGAAACCCCUAUCGUCUGUCCCUCCUCUGUCUUCCUAUUCUGGAUGUGCUCCGGAUCUAUCUCCCUCUCCCUCGCCCUGGAAAUCAUAGAAUCCAGGGUAGGGCAAGCUGAAAAACUGACAUGCUCCCGAAUGUCGGCUUGCAGCUUGUCGUGGUAGCGGGUCCUCCUCAUAUCCUCGUCACCCGCAUACUGGGGCACCAAUAACGCCCUCUCCCAGAACUUGGUGGUGAUCUCCGCCACUGUCUCCGUCAUCUGUCUCAUGUCCAAAAACUCUCUGGCUAACUACUGGAGCUCCACCGCAGGUGCGAACUCCGCUCUGAACCGGGUCACAAAGUCCGGCCAUGUCAUAGCCUCAACAGCCGAGGCUCCCAAUGAGUCACCAACAGACUCCCACCAGUCUCUAGCUCUGUCUCUCAAACACCCUGCUGCAUAUCUCACCUUCGACCCCUCGGGGCAGAAGCUGAUCAACUGCGCAGACUCAAUGUCUGCGAUCCAUCAUCUGGCCACAAUGGGGUCCUUCGCACCAUGGAAAUCCGUCGCAACACUGCUCCUGAAGUCCUUGAAGGACAGUGUGCGAGAUCUUGACUGGCCAGAUGCCAUGUCACUCCUGAACGCCCUGAGGCGGUCCUCCAUCAGCUCCACUAUCCCUUCCUUGAUCGACCCGAAAAUGAUUGGUGUCGACUCAAGGAUGCCUCUGGUGAUCUCUGACGCGAUGAACUCGCGUAGCCUCUCAACCACUGGUUCGGAACCUGAACCCGAACCCGAUCUCUCUCCCAAACUACCAACUGCUGGCCUCGAACGUAGUACCACCAUUCUGCAAUACAUAACGACAACUGUCAGUGGUACUGAUACAUCUAGAGGGAUCACAUCUACUGCAAGGUUCCUGGUCUCGCCUCAGCCUUCCUCAAUUAAAGUACGGAUCCUCUGCUUCCAGUGGUACGUGCCCAUACUACCUUCCACAAUUAUCCGUACUUUCCUCAAGAACUGCCUCGACUCCACCAAGUCCCUUCUACUACUACUGCUGAUCUCAUGCUAAUCUCAUCCUAGGCUUGCCCUAGGUAAUCGCCAUCCCACUCUCUGCCAUCAGCUGCACAAGAAGUUCCUGCUUUCUUCCCCUAACUAGCUCGCGGAUACUAUUACAUAUUACUCAGACUAGAUAAUUCUUCGGAUGAGAGGUCCUACUCUACAACGGUUGGACUCAGACAAGAGCUGCGAAAUUGGGCUAGACCCAACCUUCUGGAAUUAUUUAGUCCUUGCAAUAUGUAACUUAGCAUAUUCGUUUACUAGUUAGUGAAAGACAACUAGAACUCCUAAAAGCACAUAGCAAGCAACAUUCGGGCAUUGAGUACACAUAAUCAAGUAUAUACUACUCUGGCUAUCGUACUGACUAUCUGUACUAGCAUACAAUGCUAAUCUCAUACUAUCAGGCAUAACCUAAACAUGCUAUCCCACUACUGUCUACUCAAUACUAGCAUGCAAUUCUUAUAAAUCUAAAGCACAUAAAGUAGGCAUAUAAGGCAUCAUUCCUAGAUCCUUAGUCCUAUUCUAGCAUGCUGUUCUACUGAAACUGAAACUGAUAAUCAUAACAUAACUUGUAUGGGUACUUUGGGGAAAACUUACUUGAGCUCGGCUGGUCGCGCGCAUCACACACUUCGUUUUUUCUCAAAACUCUUUUACUUAUCCUUUAGAAAUUCAUUUAUUUAUAAAAAUCUUUUAAUCCCUCGAUUUGAGUCCAGACAUCCCCCCGAAGGUGUGUCCGAAUCCCUCAAACCAGGGAUCUGAUACCAACUUGUAACAUCCCAAAAAUACAGGCCAAAAAUUUCAUUUUUAAAUCAAUGCUUUGGAAAAACAUUUGUGAAUAAACAUCGCCUGAUCAUAUAAUUUCAUAAACAUAUUUCAUGUCUGAAAUCCAACAUAUAAAAACAACCAUAAUGUCAGAGUACAAAAUCCCAGAAUAACUCAUGAUGCGGAAAACAAUGUGUGUGUAAGAUGUGUCGCUACCGCGCCAACUCUUUCCCCUUCGAUGAAGAGGUACCUGAAAAUAAAACUAUAAACUGUAAGCACAAAGCUUAGUGAGUUCCCCCAUCAUCCACAUACCAUACAAUCAUAUAGCAUACAUUCUGCCAGGCAUUUCUGGGGUGCCCAACCUACCCGGUACGGCCAUUCUGGGGUGCCGACCUACCCGUACGGCCAUUCUGGGGUGCCGAUCUACCCAUGCGGCCAUUCUGGGGUGUCGUCCUACCCGUGUCAAGCCAUUCUGGGGUGCUGAUUUACCCAUGUCGAGCCAUUCUGGGGUGUUGACUACCCUUCGGUUCUAACAACCGAACCUCAGGGACUAUUUCACCCUUACUACUACUAUCACAUAUAUCAUAUGAUAAUCUAUUGUCAGACAUAUCUGGGGUGUCCGACCUACCCUUCGCUCCUAACAACCGAAUCUCGGGGACUAUUCCCCCUCCUACUACCUCUAUCUCAUAUAACUUAUCAUGCUAGCUGCUAAACAUAUCAUAACAUACUGUUAGGCAUAUCUGGGGUGCCUAACCUACCCUUCGGUCCUAACAACUGAACUCUAUCACUAUCACAUAUCAUAUCACGCUAGCAUAUAACAUAUCAGGUAGUAGCAACACAGAUGAAUAUCACAAAGACAAACAUCUAUCAUACGAUCCCUACUGGUGGGCCGGCAUUGUGGCCGUAGACCCACCGCUACUGGAAGGGAACUCACCUCGUAGUAACUGCUGAUAUGUGCGGGAACUCUCUGUCUGCUGCUGCUGCUCUGGAAAUCCUCCGUCUAUAAAUCCCACAAAACACCCUAUCAGAGUCUGAUAUCUACUCUUUGGGUAAAAUGACCAUUUUACCCCUGAUCAAGUCAAGUCAAAGUCAAAGUCAACUUUCAGUUGACCUGACUCGCCGAGUUGGGCCUCCAACUCGUCGAGUCCCUAACCAAUCGAUUGUCCUUACUCCCGUCCCUACUCGUCGAGUUUGGCAUUGACUCGACGAGUUCUCCUUCUAUUCAAAUGUCCAAUGAUCCUUCAUCCGACUCGCCGAGUUGUAUGAACAACUCAUCGAGUUCAUCUUCAUCCGAUGAACACUCUGGUCUGGACUCGCCGAGUCCCUGCAUUGCUAAGUCUGGCUUCCGAUUCACUGAGUCCACUUAUAACUCACUGAUCCCACUCGACAUAACUCAAAAGGGGAAAAUCGGGGACUCGCGACUCGACUCGUCGAGUCCGAAGAACAACUCGCCGAGUCGUAUACAUGCAAUCACUAUAACUCGAUUCUGAUUGAAUCCAGUUCAUUCCAUUCAUAGAUCUAGGUUCUUAGGGCUCGUUUAACACGUAAAGUUUCCAACUUUACGUGUAUAUAAGCAUCAAUGAAGGUUAAAAGGCUCAAAAUGCACUAAAAGAGUAGAUCUAGGGCUUUUCAUGCAAUAUGGCUCCAUAAAGGUAUUAGAUCUGAGCUCCUAGAGCUCAAUCAUGCCUAGAUUUGAAGUCGCUUAACAUUAUAAGCUUAUUACUCAAAGAUCAAGACUCGAAGAGGCCUCAAAGUGACUAUUUUAAGCUCUUAAUGAGAUAAUAAUGAAGGAACAGAAAGGGUUUUCGAGUUAUACCUCACUUAACUCUGAAAUGGACUCAAAGCCUUUGCUCUUCUCCUUCUUCUUUGGUCCUUCCUUCCUUAUCUUCUACAAAGCUUCAAGAAAAUCACACAAAAGCACUCAAAUCACCAAAGGAAGGGUUAGGGUUUCGUGAGGGACACUCUGGUUGUGAAUGGGGGCCGACAUGGGGGCACAUAAGGAUGUUUAAAUAGGUUGCAAACCCUUGAAAUUAGGGUUUCAUCCAGACUGACGGACUCGUCGAGUCCAGAAUAUGGACUCGUUGAGUCGCCAACUUAAACGUGCUCAAUAUCCCGUCUCUACUCGGCAAGUCGGGCCUACAACUCGCCGACUCCAAGGCUAAAAAUGCAAAAUACUUAGAUCAAUCUUACGUAAGUGCUACAGUACUGACUGUCUUGAUUUCAAGUAAAGCACAAACUUGAGGCUCGUAGAAGAAAUAAUAGGCUGAGAUGUUUUUGAGAUAAAUUGCAGUAACCAAACUUAGAUAUUUAUGCAAUGUUUAAAAUAUAGACAUGUUUCAGAUAGUCAAGAAAUAAGUGUCGGACAGAAACUUCAAAAUUAUUAUGUUUUACCAUUAAACUCAACCGAAACAGAAGGAUUACAAACACACCAAGGAGGCAGCAGGUGAAACUGUUGACCCUUUUUGCCGAGUGAUUCUCUACCUUCAUAAAUUGAAUGAGAAUAAUCAUUAAAUUUAAGAAAUCAACACUACGUUUAUCUGUUUGAAAAUAAAAGAAGCUUUGCAUAACAUAUGAUCAAAGAAUUAGAAAGAAUAAUCCAUAAAAAUUCAGUUUGAAAAGCAUUCGUUUUUUACUUACCUGGAAAAGUAAGAAGCGAAUGACCUAGAAAAGAAGCCCAAACUAUGCAAGAAGAUUAAAUUAAAUAAAUAUCAUGAACCACCUAAAAACUCAAACCAUUGACGUUUUGGGGAAAGUAAAGUCUAAGCAAGAAAAACAGAGCCUUCAAAAUUCUGCGAAUUCAAUUCAUUGUAGGUAGAGUAUAAUAGAGAAAUAAAAUAAAUAAAUAAAUAAAUAAGUGAAAAAUGCCAAAAGCAAUCGAUUACAACUAUUAUGUGGGAAACAUGGAUCGCUUAAUUGAAAUUACUAUUUAAACCAAAUGUACUAAAAAAACGAAAAAAAUAAAAUCAUUAAGUUGUUGAAGCCAUAGCCGAGUCAGCAAAAGAAUGUCUUUCAGUUCAUGUUUUUUUCUUUACACCAAGUAACCACUCCAAAGAACAGAUUUAACAAAAAAGCAACUAAAUAUAGCAAUUGCUUGGGUUAACAAAUCAUUAAACUGGAGGGGGUUAUGAAAUUACUAGAAAAUAGUUCAAUAGCCUUAAUUAGAAGAAUAAUCAAGUGAGUAUCACAACAAGUCUAUUCAAUCAGAUAAUGGACGAAGGAAAGAGGUGCACUAGAAGCAAAGCUAAGGCAUGAACCCUGGUAAAUGUAACUUUACCUAUGCUAUAUAGCUGACUUCAAAAUAAGCCAAACUGCACGUGUGAAUUCAAAUGUUCCUCUAGAACUGCCAUCCUUGUAGGAGAUUACAACAAAGUGGUAAAAUAGAGAGUAAUGUAAAGUUUUUGUUGGAAAAAACAUUAAUCUUUUAAUAAAUAACCAAAGGAGACACCACAUACCUCUUGUUGUUUGUUCUUUAUAAACGAUCCAAAAGUUGUAUCUAUGAACUUCAGCUCCGGAGUAGUUGACUGUUUGUGAAAACUGUUAUUUCCGGACAAUCUUUGAUUUCCAAAGCAGUUAACGAUGGCCAUUCAAAAGCCUCCUUCCCCAGGCAAAAUCCCUUGAGAUUUGGAAGCUUUUCAAGUGUUAUGGAUUUCAGACAAGGGAACACAACCUCAAGUAGUCGGUCUGGUUUCAGAAUCUUCAACUUGCUUCACAAUCACAUCCAUACUCUCGCAGUCAGUUAUUUGUAGCUCUUGGAGCCGCAAUAGACUACCAACCAUGCAACCUGUGAAAACGUGUCCAAGAAGUGGACAUUUAUUAAUUGAGACCUUUGUAAGGUUUGGAAAGUUCAACACUAUCCUCCGAUUGCGCUUCCACAUAUGCUUCAGAUUAUCUAUUCCACUCAAAGUCACCUCUUUUAGCUUCUCAAAUACCACAACACCUUUAUUUGUCCCUUCUUCAAAAUCCACAUCUUCAUUUGUCCCUUCUUCUACUUCAAAUACCUCCUCUGUUACAGAGUAAUACUCACCAUAGUAAGACGGGACUACAGUAAUUGAAACCUUUUCAAGAUUCUUCAAAUUAUGCAACUCGUUGCAUGGGAAAAUUAUGCGGCAUAACCACAAAUUAAUAUCAUCCUCCUGUUCAGCUACUUCAACCAAAUUUGAAAAAGACCAAGGGAACUGAAGUAGGUGUAAAGGGUUCAUAUAUAUAGGGUUGAGUGUGCUAAGAAAAAACAAACAUAAAUCACCACAAACACCAUAAUUAUAAAGGACAAAUACAUUUAGUAUAUAAACAUAUUAAAAGAUUGUAAGUUAUAUUAUUCUUUUCUGAACCAAAAUGUAUUAGAAAUCGACAGCCUAGCUAGUCUAUGACACUACCUACAUUAGUUCUUUUUUUUUGUGUGUCAAAAUGAGCAAUUAAUGUGACGAAUAGGGUUCAAAGAAUUAAGAUUUAUAUAUCGUAUUAUUACUAUUUAUAUUUUUAUUGCAUACUAAAAUAUAGCAAGAGAUAUAUGGAUGUUAUAUUUAUACUUUUACAACAAUCUCAUCUACAGAGUUUUACUCAAAUUUUAGUUAAUUCAAGCUACAUAUAUUGUUAGUUUGGAAAAGACUACCAGAGAAAAGAACAACUUGAUUAAGUAACUACUAGCAUCACAAUAGUUAUUAAUGAUUUGUGUUAGGUAAGUUAAUUAAACUGGGUGAAAAUAAAUGAGUUAAUUACAAAUUAUUGUUGCAUAAUUAUUGAUUUAGGAAAAGGACGAAUUGAUUACAAUAGAACCAUUUCUAGCUAUGUAAUUUUAAAAUGAUUUAAAUCAGAAUAAACUUGCCAAAUAUCUUUUAUAAUACAUAAGAAAAUAAUCUUUUUAUAUUCAUGUAUUUAAUCUAAAUGGUGUUUAACUUGUUACAUCUUCUAUUUUAGGAAACUUAACUAUUAUGUGCUCAAAAUUCAAAAUGGUUUGAUAAUUGAGUUGAAAUUUUUAUUAUACUUUAGAGCAUACAAAAUACUAAAGGUUCAUAGCAUGUCACGCCCUUUUAUAUCUAUUGUACAUAAUUCGUUUUAUAAAUUUAUCGUCACUAUCCGUUAUCCGAUGGAUAUCAUGAUAUUUAUUUAUUUGUUUAAUCCAUAUUUUUUGUAUUAUAUUAUGUAGACAAAAAAAGUUUUACUUUAUUUAUAUUGUAAUAAAGUUAAAAAUAUCAUAAUAUUAUCAAUAAUAUUUAAAAUUUGUACCAUUUUAUGAACUUGUUAAUGAUUUAGUUUAUUCACGAAAAUUUUAGAAAUCCUUUUUUUUCUUAGGUUCUCAUUUUGUACAUGCCCUCCCUUGAAUAGUUGUUAUUCCAAGCCAUUAGUAAUUAAGUGUUUGUUUUUCUACAAAUGAAUUUUUUUUUCAAUAUACAAAAAGUAUAUUGAAAUGUUUCCACUCUCUUAAGGUUCUGUUUAAGUUUAAAAAUUAGAUUAUAUUUUAAAUAAAUAAUUACAUGUAUCGUACGGUACCUUCUUAUAGCAAGUACUGCUAUACGAGCUCGAACCCCCACGAUUCACAGUUGUUUGCUUUUCACGGAUUUUUUUGUUCCUUUCUGAAGCAAUUUUGUGUUCGUCAGUUUGAAAAUACUCAACUGUCUUCUCCCAGUUAUCAACAAGCAUAGCAUCCGGAGGAUUUGCCAAUGCUCUCGGGAUAUCUUCAUACCCUCCGACCUUCUUGAAAUAUUCUUUUGCGUCGGCUUUACGCUCUCAAAAACCUUUUAACAAGGCUGCUUGAAAACUCUCUGUCAAUAGAGUAGCUUGUGCAUCCUGGUACAUUUGAUUGAGAUCAAACUUUGUCUACAAUAUAAAAAAAAGUUAACCAAGUAAAAAACAAUUAUAGUUAAACCUAUAAAAUAUAUUUAAAUAAAUAAUUACCGCUAAAUGUUAUAAUAUAGUGUCCUUUAUAUCAGGGGAAACUCUUUUCCAACUCCAUUUGUCGAAAGGGACCAUCUGCCACAUUGUUUUCCCAACUUCUCGGGAAAACAUGUCUCCCGCCUCUCCUACGGGAUUAAAUGUGAUAUCCCUAUCAAAUUGCAUGGCUAUUGGUUUCCCCUGGUUCUGCAAGAUUGCUUUUUCAAGCUUUAUAUUUUUUGCUUUUCCUCGAGCUUUCCUUCGGGCACGUCCCUCAACUACAAAUGUAAUUAAAAAUUAUUAGAAACGACAUUUAAUUUAUGAUAAUUGAACAAAAAUAGUAAAUAAAAAUUCAUGAUAAGACUUACCGUCCAGCUCGUGCUGGCCAGGACCUCUACCACCUGGGAAAGGUGGGUCCUCAGCUCCGUCUCCCCCAUGUCCACGACCCAUGACAGCAGCCAUGGUAAACAUAAACAACAGCCACACUCUCAUCAUUUCCUGAAAAAUUAUAAGAUAUACAAAUACAAUUUUUAUUAUAGAUACACAUUACAUAGAAAUAAACAUUUAGAUAGGAAUAAACAUUUAGAUAGGAAUAAACAUUUCCAUUUAAACUAGAAAUCCAAAUACAGUUCAUAUUACAAACACAUAUUACAAAUACAUAUUACAUAAGAACUAUUCUAAUCAGAAUCUUCCUCAUAUCCUUCAGUGUCUUCUUCGGUAUCAUAGUCAGAAUCGGUGUCAUCGUAAUCAGUAUCGCAAUCAGAAACAUCAUUGACUCUACCAGUUGGCGGAGGAACUUCAGAUGCACUUUCUACAUCAACAAUGACUCUAGGAAUGUUUUGAAAGUACAUGCUGAAAUCGAUAAAAAGCGGAGCAUCGGAUGAAGAGAUAUUUUGAAGUACAUCGACAUCGUCUACAUUUUCGUGUGAGACAUUGUCAACAUUUUGAACAAGGUCAUCGUUCGAUGGUAGAUCCCAAAUACUUCGAUGAUUAACAUGCUCGACAACACACCGAUGGUUAUUGUUUGGCUCUCUGAUGUAGAACACUUGUUUGGCUUGUGACGCAUAUAUGAGUUGAUCAUCUUUGUAUGCUUCGCGUCGUGUGUCGAUACUGGUGAAACUAUCACUAGAAAUAACUCCUGUUCGAGUAUCAAACCACUUGCAACGAAAUAGUACAGUUGAAUAAUCAUGUGUAUACCUCAACUCUAUAAUCUCUUCUAACUGGCCAUAAUACUUCUCGCCUUUCUCACCCACCGCUAAAACCCCAGAGUUUUGUGUUGUACGUUGUGUGUCACGACUAAGUACCAUAAACCUAACACCAUUGACUAUGCAUGCGGUGUAAGAAUAGGCAUUCAUUUGCGGGCCCAUUGCAAGAACCGACAACUCUUCGUGGAAUUCUGGAGAUUUUUCUAUUUUCAUUUGAUGAACCUAACAAUUAUAAAUUAAUAUGUAUUAUGUAUUCGUUAGAUCAAUGAAACAAAUUUGUUUAUUAAUUUAUAUUACCUUUUCACGAAACCAAUUACGAAAUUCUCUCUUUUCAUCACUUUGGGGAUGCUCAGAUUUGAAUUUCCUAUGUUGAUGACCAAAAGAUAUAGAUUUAAAAAGAUAAAAUAAAAAAUUAAGAAUGAAAGUUAGAGAUAAGAUUAAUUACUUGAUAUACUGUCUGACUUCUUCACAGCUAUUCAAUACAAACCAUUCCAUGUUAUGCAUUUCCGUUAAAUUAAGAGUUUUGAUUUGAGUUGUGCUGGUCGGUCGACAUUUAGACUCAAACAUCCAAAACUUUGUUUUUUCAAUGACAAUAUCUACAUUUCUUUCCGGACGAUUCUUUACAUCUCGAAGGUACAUUGAACAAAAUGAUAAAGCUUCUUCAGCAACAUAACCCUCAGCUAUAGAACCUUCUGGCUUCGCCUUGUUUCUGACAUAGUUUUUUAGUUUUUUCAUAUAUCUCUCGAAUGGAAACAUCCAUCUCAUACAAACCGGGCCUCCAGCAAUUGCUUCAUCAGGUAAAUGCAAAAGUAAAUGAACCAUAAUGUCAAAAAACGCCGGAGGAUAAAUCAAUUCUAACUUGCACAAGAUUGCAAUAAUGUCUACUUUUGCUUUCCUCAUAUCCUCCACCUUCAAUGUUCUGGAACAAAGUUGCUUGAAAAACGUACAAAGGUCUACAAUAGGUGUAUAAGUAUCUUUGUCUAACAACCCUCUUACUCCAAUCGGUAUCAAACGUUGAAUAAGAAUGUGGUGGUCAUGCGAUUUCAACCCAAUAAUGUUAGUAUUGGUAUCGUUCACUUUCUUACUAAUGUUAGAACCAAACCCAUCCGGCAGCUUAACCUCUUUUAUAAAUUGACAAAAGAGUUGUCGACUAGAUUUCGUGAAAGAGUAUCUUGCCUGGGGUCUAUGAAACUUGUCACCAUUUUUUUGCAACCAUUCAUUUCUCCGAAUGUUUAGAAUUCUCAAGUCCUCUCGUGCAUUUGAUGUGUCUUUGCUUUUAUCGUUCAUUAGGAGAGUACCUAACAAACUCUCGUCCACAUUUUUCUGGACAUGCAUGACAUCUAUGUUGUGUUUCAACUGUAGAGAAGACCAAUACUCGAGUUCGAAGAAAAUGCUUCGUUUCGACCAGUUCAACUCAUAAUCUUGCCGCUUUGGCUCCCCGCCUCCAUGCUCAGGAUGUUUACCCGGUUUACGAGUUAGUAGACGACCUAGUUGCUCUUGUAUGUCAUCAUUACUAAAGUGUCUCGGAGCGGGUCUUGUCUCUUCCAUCCCAUUAAAGUCCAACCUCUUUCUUAACGGAUCAUUAGCAUCUAGGAAACGACGAUGACCGAUAUAUACGACUUUGUUUGUUGCACGGUACGAAGGAGUGUCUUCAUUGCAAGUAGCACAUGCUCUAUACCCUUGCCCACUCCAACCCGAUAAACUACUACGAGCUGGCCAAUCGUUUAUUGUCCACAACAACAUAGCUCUCAUCGUGAAGAAUGUGUUUGUCGCCGCAUCUUUAAUACGUACGCCUGAGUUCCACAAAUGUUUAAGCUCUUCCACCAACGGUCUAAGGAAAACAUCCAUAUCCUUACCUGGAGCUUUCGGUCCUGGAAUCAACAAAGUCAACAUGAAUGAUGACUCUUUCAUACAAAGCCAGGGUGGCAGAUUGUAUGUGGUGAGUAUGACCGGCCAUGUGCUAUGUGGAUUACACAUGUUUCCAAAUGGAUUGAAACCGUCAGCUGAAAGACCUAGGCGUACGUUACGGGGUUCACUCGAGAAGUCGGGGUAUUUUUUAUCAAAAUCUUGCCAAUGUUCCCCAUCAACAGGAUGAAUCAUCACACCAUCUUCUGAACGUCUGGUACUAUGCCAAAUCAUAUUUUUGGCAGUGUGCCUCGAACAAUAUAAACGUCGUAGUCUAGGGGUCACAGGAAAGUACCGUAACACCUUAUGAGGUACUUUCUUACCCUUGGUGUUUUUAUCGAUCCAUCGGCUCUCUUUACAAACGGGACAAACUUGCAAUGAAUCAUGUUCUUUCCAAAAGAGACAACAAUCGUUUUUACACACAUGUAUCGACUCAUACCCCAGGCCAAUAGACUUUAGUUUCUUUUUGGCUAGAUAAUGUGAAAGGGGAACCUUGUUGCCUUUGGGAAAUGCUAAUUGCAAGAGCUCAAGGAGUUGAUCAAAUGAACUAUCAGUCCAUUUGUUGUUCACCUUGAUAUGCAUUAACUUUGCUAGAAACUCAAGGGAAGAAAAGAUGCAACCAGUAUACAAUUGAGUUUCCAUUUCUUCCAACAACUGUGCAAAAUCAUCAUCCACACCGCUACCCCUUGUAUUCGAGGUUCCUUCAUCGAGGUUGGUAUCAUUUUCUCUCGACUCCCACAUCACAUCGUCGAUUAAAUCGGCCAUUUCGUUACUUGGCAAGACGACGGGAGGAAUAAAAGAUUCACCAUGAUAGAUCCAAAUUUUGUACGCCUUACUGAAACCAUUUAUAAAUAUAUGGCGUUCAACUACAGUCGGGUACUUGAAGUAACGGUUAUCACAUUUUUCACACGCACAUCUGAUUUUACCAUUACUAUCAAGGUGCAACUUCGACUUCUCAAUAAAAGCUUUGAGUCCUGCUUGGAACUCGGGAUGGUUUCGAUAUGGAUUAGUAGUCCAGCUUUUAUCAAUAGACAUGAUGUUGCUGAAACAUAAUUUUGGGUUUAGAGUUUAGUAUACAGAAUUAGCAUUGUUUUUUUUCAAUCCACAUUUUUUUUACAUCUAAAAUAAUACAAAAAUUAAGUAAUAAAAAAAUGAAAAAAAUAAAUUAAAAAUUUUUAUUUAUGCAUUUUUUUAAUUAAUUUUAAUUAAAAUUACUUGUAAGUUAGCUUGGGUAAAAACUAGAAGCUUUCUAGUUUUUGUAUAUAAGUUUUUAAACAAUUUUAUAGUUUUUUUUUUGUGUUUUUUUUUUCAAUUUAUAAAAAUAAUGUAUUUUUUUUUUCAAUUAUAGCAUCCUACUUAUACCAAAACCACAUAGUUUUACAUAAUACAUAAGAAGGUGAAAUUCACAUACUUUUACAUACAUAUACCACAUAUACACCAAAUACAAAUACACACAAAAUAACAUCCUAGUUAAACCAAAUACACAUAAUUUCACAUAUAUACAUAAUAACAUCCUAUUUAUACCAAAUACAAAAGUUUCACAAUCAUAUAUCACAUUUACAACAAACAUACAUACAUUCACAUACACACAAUAACAUUCUACUUAUAACAAAUACAUAUAAUUUCUACUAAUAUACCACAUAUACAUCAAACACACAUACAUUGGAAUAUAUAUACCAAAUUCACAUAUAUUCAAACAAAUACGGAAUAUACAAUUUAAUUUUUACAUAUGACAAUUUUCACAUAAUUUCACAUAUAAAUACAACUUAAAGCUAUACAACUAAUUGCAAUUAAAUAACCACAAACAAAAAAAUUGAAUAACUUGCUUCUAAUCCAAAACAACACCACCAAAAAUAAAGAAUAUGAGCAAUUUAUUAUCAUUCAAUCACUACAUAAAUCUACAAAUCGAAAUUCAUACAAAAUAAAAAUGAAAUCAUCAAAAAAAAACUUACCUUUCUUCAAGAAAUGGAGGUACCUAGAAAUUGAUCCCAAAGCUUUAGCCACACCUAGAGACACUUGCUUGGAACAAUGCUUCUAAUCCAAAACAACACCACCAAAAAUAAAGAAUAUGAGCAAUUUAUUAUCAUUCAAUCACUACAUAAAUCUACAAAUCGAAAUUCAUACAAAAUAAAAAUGAAAUCAUCAAAAAUAAACUUACCUUUCUUCAAGAAAUGGAGGUAGAAAUUGAUCCCAAAGCUUUAACCACACCUAGAGACACUUGCUUGGAACAAUGUGGGGAGAAAUUUGCUUGGAAGAAGCAGAUUGAAGAGGAAAUCGGCCAGAUGGUGAAGGAAAUUGGAAGCAAACAGAAAGGAAAAUGAAGAAGGGAGGUUAUCUGCGUGCGUUUUUUUUUUUUUAUCUGCGACAGGCAAUAUCGGCGACACCUUUAGCGGCGACGCUAGGGGCAUUACCGACGACAAUGAGUAAUAGCGGCGACAAACUGGAGGGAAGGGUACCACGUCAUUUUUAGCAGACUAUUAGCGGCGACUUUUUUUAACCUUUAGUGGCGACAUCAGUGUCGCCGGUAUUAGGUUAGACAGGCUAAGGCACCCCACCCAUUGGAUUAGAUAUCUCAUCGAACGGUUGAGAUGCAAUAGAGGGGGAAAGUGCGGAUUCGGGUGACAACCCUUUAGCGGCGACACUAUUAGCGGCGACAAGGGGCUUUACCGACGACUUUAGAUAAAGUUGCCGGUAAAGCCCCUUGUCGUCGGUAAUAGUGUCGCCGCUAAAGAGUAUAUUUCUUGUAGUGUCUCUAUAUUAAAGUAAACAAGAAUAAUUUUGAGAUAUAAAAAAAUUAAUAAUGUUCAAUAUUUUUAGAAAUAAUACAUAAUUUUUUUUUACAAAGCUAAGUUUAUAUAUAUUGAAAUAUUGCAGGUGUUAAUUGUAACCAAAUGGUGCAACUGAUAAAAUGGUUGUAGAUGAAAAUUAAAUGUUUUCUUAAUCAACAAGAUUAUGUGACCCUGACAUUAAAAUGAGUUUAAUUUGAAUCUUACAAAAAAAAAAAAAAUUGAACUUUUAAUUUGUAUGAGCCUUGAAAAACCCACCCAUAAUAAGUGUUGCAAUUGGCCGUUGUCUUUAGUUCAUCUAACUUAAUAUGGAAACUAACUUGGUUGACUUUUGUAAGAGUGAAUUUAACAUUAUUUUUAACAUUACAGACAAUUUAAUAUCGCAAGAGUAAACUAAUAAAUUAUAAUAAAAUAAAUUGCAAAUCUUCCUAAAUUUGGAUAAAAGAAAGGGAGGUGUUUAUGUAUUUGUAUUGUUUUCGUUUUGUGGAAUACACACAUGAACCACUUAAACUUGUAUGCAAAUAAUAUCUUUAACAUCAUAACAUGCUGACACGGUUACUUGAUUAACGUUGCAAGUAAAGUAACAACAUACCACAUGUGGAGCAUUGGUUAAAUGAAAGUUGAGGCCACAUUCAAGACUAUGCUUGCCUAUUCCUGUAUGUAUGUAUUUGAGCUUCGGAGCAUUGAAGUGACUAGAUGUGAAAUUCAUCAUUUGUGGGCAGCCAUAAAUCUCAACCUUUUCCAAUACUGGCCACGUGAACUUAUUCGUCCCCAAGAAGAAACCCUUUUGAGAUUUGGUAAAAAAACCCAAUGUAAAAGACUUGAGACGAGGGAAGACUAUAAUAGAUUUAGAUGUUUCUGUGUGCUCUCCAUCUUCCUUCACAAUCACUUGCAUUGCCAUGCAUUCUGCUACAAUCAAUUAUUGAGUUGAUUGAGGUUUUCAAGUGUGGAACUUGUGAAUAUAUAUUCCAAAACUUCACAUCUUUCUAUUUCAAUAUCGUUAGGUUGGCCAAUUCAAGCAGAGUCAUAUUUGCCGACCUUGGGAUGGUGAUUGCAGUACAAGUAUCAUCACUUCCAUCAUCAACAUUAGUAGUACUAUCAACACCAUCUUUGUUUAUUUCUUUACUUUCAAAUAUCUCCACCAUUGACUUACAUUCUGAUAUUGUCAGCUCUUCAAGCUUAUCGGUUGUCCCACUACAUACGUGCAAACACUCUUGAUAGGCCAUGACAAUCAAAUAUAAUAAUCUUUUUGGAGUAUUGGCAUAAGAACCAAGAAGCAACAAUACCUUGAGAACACUACAUUACAUGAAAAAUCAAUUAAGCUGAUUGAAUUAAAAAAGCUUAGUUGUUGGCUACACACAUGCAAAUUGCUUAUAUGUUCAAUUAUUAACACAACAUUUGCAUAUUAUAAAUGUGGUUACAAACACGAGAGGGGCUCCUCAUAUGACUAAGGUACUUAAGUAACAAUUUCGCCAAGAGAAAUUAAAAUUCAAAAUUAAUAUAGCACCAAGUUAUGAAGAGAAAGUUGCAUUUGAUAUUGUAUCCUAUUACCUCCUCAAAGUAGAAGGAUAAAAACAUAACUUUACUUUUAAAUUUAUUAUUAAAUACACAAUUUGCAAUCAAUAUAUUAAAAAACUUUACUUUUAAAUUUUUUAUUAGAAACAUAAUGUACAAUCAGUAAACUUAUACUUUCGUACUUGCAUUGAUUAAAUCAUCUUCUUUAUGUUUUAAAAAAUUUAACCAACAUAAAUGGUUAAUUUAGGACGCAAUGACAAAAUGGAGAACUUAGUGUAGAGAAUGUUAGCAUCUCAAUCACUAUUAAUAAUUGAUUUGUCAAAGUCUUCCAUCAUAUAUACAGAAGCCAAACAAUAUCAGAAAGAUUAUAUUACAAAUUUUGAAAUGAUUAACCAUUAGAGAAACAAUACUGAAAAGACUCAACCCGAAAUUACCUUUAAUGAAAUGAUCUCAACAAUGGCAAGUUUAGCAAGUUUAGUCAUAUAAGCGGUGUCAACUUCCCCUUCUUCAAGGGCACUAAUUGCAAUUGACAUGACUUUAAAUACACCAACAAUAUUCCUAAACCUCUGCAAAUAAUAGGAAAAAGAAGUUCAAAUAGUAUUUUUUUUUUUUAUUACAUGUGUAAUUUAUGUUACAGUGAGUGAUAAGUUGUAUAGUAACACGAUGCUUGUUAUGAAAUUAGAGUCUCCUUUACCAAUCAAACUCUUCGUCGUCUGAGGAACUGGAAAGUUUUUGCCAAUCAACCACCACAAUGAGGCAGAAAACCCUAAUCAGAGAAAAUUACUACAAAAUAGUAAAACCUUUGGAAUUGUUGAUUGGAGGUCAAAGAGAUUUAAUUACCAGGUUGAAACUUGGGAUAAGGAUAUUGGAGAUGCCUUCUGGCUUAUGACAUCCCCAUUUUCACGGCCAGAAAAGUCUGAUUUGUUUAUGCUUUGUUUUAUAAAUCAGAGUAAUCUUUUAAAAAAAAACAGUUGCAGAAUUUGUUCCCAAAACAAAAUGUGAUAAGAAUUUAUCAAAGCAUUUCUUUAAAGAAAUGUAUUUUCAUUAAAUAACAAAAUCUCGAGAUGUCAUGUUCCGAUACAUACCAAAAGCAUAAACAGUAUAAAAUAGACCUAACGACAGUCAUUUAUAACUACUGAUCUAUAAUACAAAAUCUCUCGUCAAGUCCACCAACUUAUACUCUUAUGCCAUUACCUAUAAUGCAAAGAAAACUGUGUGGGUCAGGCUUGGGAGCCUGGUAAGCAUAUAUGGUUUUCAACCCACAAUAAUAUAAUUAUUAUAUUCAAUCAUCAAACAAUCAACCCAAUUACCAUCCCCAUUAUCUUCUUUAUUUCUUAAGGUUUUACCCUAAGAAUCGACUAUCCUUCCUUCAUUCGUUCCUAAGGAUUGACCUAAGGAAUCGGCACAAAGUCCAUUGCUACCACGAUUUAUACAACAGGCACUACGUCACAUAGUCGCCAGGGUUUAUACAGUAGGCACUACGUCUCAUAGUCACCAGGGUUUAUACAAUAGGCACUACGUCGCAUAGUCACCAGGGUUUACACAAUAGGCACUACGUCUCAUAGUCAUCAGGGUUUACACAAUAGGCACUACGUCUCAUAGUCACCAGGGUUUAUACAAUAGGCACUACGUCUCAUAGUCACCAGGGUUUAUACAAUAGGCACUACGUCGCAUAGUCACCAGGGUUUACACAAUAGGCACUACGUCUCAUAGUCACCAAAUAUUUCAUCUAACCAUGUUCUACCCAACAUAUUUGUAGAUAUAAAAUACAUAUACGGUUUAAAUCAUUAAAAACCUGUAUAAAACAUCCAUUCAACACCCAUCUCAAAUAAACAAACAAUAUAUAACACAUAGCACGUAUUUCAUAGCAAAUACUUCAUAUUUAUGUGUUAGAAGAAAGUAACUACACACUCACUUGAUAAUACGAUUAUCGGACAGCACCUCGUCUCUUAAAACAAUCGCUUCCGAUGAAACUGGUAUGCUUCCUUGAAAACCGGGUUUCUCACGGGCAGAGUUUCGGUUCAGGAACUCUGUUUCUCGGGAUCUUCGGGGCUUCGGGACUUGCUUUGGGUCUCGGGAUGAUACCGGGGCUUCGGGGUAUAAUUUGCACAUAAAAUGAUGAAAUACGGGAGAGAGAGAGAGAGAGAGAGAGAGAAGAAAUGGGCAACCAAAUUCGGCUGCCCAAAUGAUCUAUUUAUAGGGUUGGAGUCUGGCCACGAACACAGUGCAUUCCCCAAACGAACGCAGAGCGUUCCCCGAACGCGGUGCGUUCCCUCAACGAACGCAGGGUGUUCCCACAUGCGUCAUUGCUUACGAACUUUGGACUCGACAGGUGACGAGACUGUCUCUAAUGCUCCGAACGCGGUGCGUUCCCUGAAGGAACGCAUGGCGUUCCCCUUCAGCCAGCCUCGAAGUUUGUGCUUCAAUCUUUUAAAUCCCAUAACUUUCAUGUACGAUCUCCGUUUUCGACGUUCUUUAUAUCCACGCGUAGGUGAGAGUAUUCUCUACAACUUUCAUUUAGACUCCGUUGGCUAAUUUUGAGCUUUUUUAUUAUAUUAUUUUUAACUGGCUGGGACUGGAAAAGUCCGUUAAAAAUCCAUAACUUCUUCAUCCGACGUCCGCUUUUGUCUGUCUUUCUUCCAUUGCACUACUAUCGAUGAGAUUUUCGAUUCUCGUUUAGAUUGUUUCGACUAAAAAUCGCCCGAUCUCAUAAUCGAACUUUGGGCUGCAUACCGCUAAGCUGAAACUUAGAAAAAUCAUAACUUCCUCAUACGAAGUCAGAUUUGGAUGUUCUUUUUAUGCACACUCUCGGUUUAACGUAUUCUACGACUUUCGUUUAGAUCACUAAGGCCAAAUAUCGCUCCAUCGUAAAUUCACUAUGUACGUUGCGCUGUGUCGUGUCGGUUCUGUCGCGAAACUUCGACAGAUCAUAACUUCUUCAUUAUAACUCGGAUUUCGGCGUUAUUUAUAUGUACGGAAUCCUUGUAACAUAUACUAAAACUUAGUUAAGAUUACUCCUUCUAAAUAAUCUUCCAUAAAAAAGUCAUUUUUGAUACUCAUUAUCUCUAAAUUGACUAGCACUAAUCCACGGGCGUUACAGCGCUGGAGCACAAAGCUUGAAGAGAUAUCAAUAGAUUCAGAUUUGACGCGUACACCUUACCAACAUAUUAGAAUGGUAGAUAGAAAGGGAAGUAGUGGAUUGGCUUUUGUCAAACAACAAUCAAAAGGAAGUAUGGAUUACUUUGAUGUAUAUGGCGUUGUUCCGGGAUAUAUUGAUAGGUGAAGGAGAUACGAGAGAGUUGAGUGUUGCCGGACCUAAGGUUGCCGGCAAGGCCAGGCGAAGCGAGGUGAUAUUGUCGAUUGUUGCAGAGGCUAGAGAGAAUCAAGAGAAUUUGAGAAGGUAGAAAAGAACAAGGUAGGUUUUCAAAAUUUUAGGGAUUUCAUUUUCCCCCGUAUCUACUAAAUGCGCGUUCAUUAAAAUUAUAAACCGACACUUAUAGAGGAUGCGCAUUUAAGAUACGCGCAUUUAAGACACUAAUUUAAGGGCACGCAAUAAUGCGUGACCUAAAUCCUUAAAUAUUUUGAAGAGAUGACACUUUUUUAAUGUCAUUUUCUUUUGCGUAACAUAAAUCAAUGAGUGUCAUGGUUUACACGUUGUACAAGGGUCUUUUUCUUGUAGUGUGUGUGUGUGUGUGUGUUACAUCUAAACCUAAAAGAUUUGGUCUAGCUUAUCUAAUUUUUAUAAAGGAAAAAAAUUAUACUAUCAUCAUUUGUGAAAAUAGAAAUUAUUAUUGUAAAUUCCAAGGGGAAAAUACUCCUCAAUAUCAGGGUCUAUUGCGAAAAUAGAGGUCCAUUCACCAUACAUUAGGUUGUAUAUUGUAAUAUCUAUCGUAAAUUUAGUAUAUUAAAUAGAAAAUAGACAUCUGUUCAUUAUACUUAGGUUGCAUGUAAACAAAAUAGAUAAAUAAAUAAAAUCAUUUUUGUUCCAAUAUUCACAUUACCUACCAAAAAUUAUCAAUACUGUUGAAAUGAAUAACAAACAUCAUUUCAAUAAUUUUUCUCUCCUUCGCAAUCUGGUCCAAAAUUGACCAUGUAUGUAACUUAAUUUCAGUGAAAUUAGAUAACAAAUGCAUUUGAUAUGUUUUACAACCCUGUGAUCUAUAAAUCUCUUUAAUAACCUAUGCAAGAGAAAAAAAAACUAUAAGAACUGGGCAUGUAAUUAUGAAAAGAUAUAUAACGCGUCUAAUUGAGAAAAAAAAUAAUAGAAAUGUUGUGAAAUCUGUGCUGCUGCUGCUACUGGAACUCUCUAUCUCAAACACCACUUCAACAUCCUUACAGCCAGUUACUUGAAGGACGUUAAGAAAAGGUUUGGGAUGCAUUGAGGAUUCAACGUCACGAAUAUUACCAUACACCUCUGAAAUGAUAUCUUCCUUGGAUAUAACAUUAAUCUGCAGAUAUCUCAACAAUAAAUAUAAUUCAAAAUUUCCAAUAACUAAAAUUUAAAUUAAUUAUUCAUAAAUGGCACACCUGUUUAAAUCUAUUUACAUAACUAAAGUUGACAGCGAUUAAAUUAACUGAUUUUUAAUAAUUUCCAAUGAUGACUUAUUUGAUACCUACAAUAAAUAUUCAAAAUACUCACACUUACACAAAUACAUAAAAAUAACAUUUUUAGACUAACAUACAAAAUUGGUUAUCUGGUUUUUUGGUUUAUGUACAAAAAAAUCAUUUUGCAAUUUUGAUCCUUAUCACUCACACCGGUAACUUAAGUCUGUUAAAGCCUUAUAAAACGACUAUUUUUCCCUUCUUUCACUUUGUAUUAUUAAUUAUCAUAGAAAUUGUCCAUAGGCCCCACCACCCACAUAUCGCCCCCACUGUCCCCCUCUUUCCCCUUUCACCGUCUUCUUCGCCUAGCUGGCUAGCUCCCCUAUCUGUUGCUGCUAUAAGAGGUCCUGACCCAACCCCUUUUCCUUGGUCGACUUCUCUACCAGAGACAAUCAGGAGUCCAGUCUUCCUCCAUUGCAAUCAUUUUAGUCCGCUACCAUAGACAAUCUCAGGUGCAUUUUUCAUCAUCAUCAAGCAUGGAAAACGCAAGGCAUAGCAUAAAUUCAACGACCAUAUCUUAUCAUCUUCAACACAUUAUUCAGUGAGUUGAAAUCCAAAAUCAUCAUUUAAAAUGCAAGUAUCAUAAAACAUACACCCAAUAAAAUAGAAAAAAGGCAAUGCUUACAACAUAUUGUCACAAUCCAAAACCAGACAACAUGUUUCCAAAAGAAAUUAUACUUUUUGGGUAUUAGAUGAGUGAACUCUUAAAAUUAAGUGAAAAAGUUGCAAGACAAGUGGGGGAUGAUCCGAUGAUGCAAGAACAUCCAAUUUCAGGUGAGAUUUACAAACAAUUGAAGUGAGAUAUUCUUUAAGGCUUCAUAUAUCACCUAAUCUAGGAGACACAGAGGGGGGCCGAGAUGGUCACUUGGAGGGAGGACCAAGAUAACGGGGACAAGAUUUUUAUAUUUACUCUUUUUUUUUUUUUACCAUAAAUCAGUAAUUUUGAGUGAUCACCUAAUUGAUCACUACAAUAAAUAUGUCAAAAUCUUCACAUUUAAUGGAAAAAUAUAAAAAAUUUAAUUUUCAAUCGCUUUUAAUAAUGCGGUGUAAAUAUGUAAUAUCCUAAGUUACAAUUGUUAGAAAAUAUUAAACAAAUGCUUAAGUAGAGUGAAAUAACAAAAAUAAGAAAAUAAGAGAUCCAUACUUAGCAAUAUAGGAAAUCUAGCCUACUUCUCCACACUUAAAAACGUAGUAUAUAGGUAAUUUGUCCAUGUUUUUAAAUGUGGAGUAUUAAAUUGUUUAUCCACAUUUUGAAGUGUAAAGGUUUAGAAAUAAUUUGUUAUGGCACACUUUUAAGUGUGAAUACAUACAAAAAUUGUAUACAAUUGAUUGAUUUAUUGUAGUGUGAUAUGUACAUAUGUACACACACCCACACAUAUGUAGAUACUUAUAUGUGAGGGUAUAUAUAGAGGCACAUACAAAUAAGUGCUGUAACAUCAAAAUAGAAACUGAAAGCUCAAUGACAUCACAUACCUCCUUUCUUUUUAGAACCAAUUCAAUGUAUCUCUUGCUUGCUUCCAAAGGUCUCCUACCAUCUAUACUCACAUUCAUAAGUUUUCUCACAUCAGAAUUGGCCAUGGUCGGUGUGAAUACAUUUACAAACCUCUCACACCUUCGUAUAUUUAUCCAUUCAACUGCUUGAAAGCUGCGGAUGAGGAUAUCAGAGCUACUUUCACCUUUCAUCCUCCACAACUCUCUUAGCUUCCCCAAACCAUAUCCGUCAAUUUGUCUCAAGUUGCUGCUGUGUUCUUCAAUUUCACCAACACAACUCAUGUCAAUGUCAAAUAAGUAAUAACACUUCAAGUCUGAUGUUACCAGAGGAUGAUCUAAAGUAAUAUCACUUCAUCCUAACUUUUCAUCUUUUUGUUUGACUUCACAUCGUGAUGCACCUACAAUGUAAUGUUAUUUUAAAACUAACUGGUAAUGUAGCGUUAAGUAUAAAACAGCGUAUAUUGAAGCUAAGUUUAGCCUAAAACAGGGUAUUUAAAUAUAGUAAAGAAAAGUAUCUUUAUGUUAUUUACAGGGUAAAGUUGUGAGUGAAGGAAGAAAUAUAAUUGAUCACCAAGGUGACCCAGUUUGUGUUUUUCUUUUGAAAACAAGUAAUUUUGCUGUAAGUAAGUACACAUGGAAAAAAAGGUUACAUAUUGAAAUUUCUCCGGCCAAAUCCACCACCAGAAACAACCGCCAGUCACCACAAGAUACAAGUUCCAGGGAGUACUCAGUGACAUGUGGUGGUAGCUGGGCUGUUUGAAAUCAGAAGAUGUCUGAAAAACAAAAUCAUGAAAAAAAAAGGUUACACAGGGAAAUAUGAUUACAGCCAGCAGGUGAAACUAUUAUUUCUUUUUGUGUCAAAUGAGUUAUUUGCUAACUUCAUAAAUUGACAAGAAUAAUAAUUAUCUCUAUGAAAUUAACAGUAUGUUUAUAUAUCCAAAGAUUACUGAGAAAAGAACCAUUUCAC